GUAUUGGCCGUGGCUGCACUUGAAGCACCUGCCCCCAACUCCCCAUCUCAGGCGCCAAAUCCACUUGCAUCUUUCCAGGCAAUGCUGAUGGGAUUCGUGGGUGUUGCUAUUUCCUUUAUUUUCUUUAAAUCUGUGGCUUGAGCUCCCCCAUUCAACUCUACUUGUUCUGGUGUGCUUCUUUCAGUAUUUUCUGCACCAUGUUUCUGUGACUGGAGAUGUUAUUGAGCUCACAAUCUAGCACAAAAUUAUGAAUAAUGCACUUGUAUCAAGUCCUCCCCCUUGAUUUACUACAAUGUUGUAAUGCCUGUCCUAUUGUGUACCAACCCUUGAUUGAGUGAAAUAUCAUCUCCGAUCUGUUUCUAUCUUGGAAAAUGUUAGGGCACUGAUUCAGUAUCAACAGAACUUGCAGUCAGGAUCCUUAAAAAUUCAUGAUGAAAUUGUGGUUAGGGUACAAUUACAAACAAAUCAAACAUCAAGCAACAUACAAACAAAUGGGACGCAAGUGAAAUAUAAAAACAUUGGAACCAAAUUAUAUAUAUGAUAUGUUUUUGGACAAAUAGUUGAAGAGGUCAGCCAGCGGAAAAAUAGAGCCAGCCCAUCACUUUUUGCUGGAAAUGGGCCUGUCAUUACAUGAGCUGGGUGCUGCCACAUUGGUUAACAUUUGGCUUGGCAGGUGACCCCCCACCCCCAACAAAAACAAAAGGACUCUUUGGAACCAAAGCCUUCGAGCCACAUUGGUCAAGGGCCACGGUGCCAAUCUCAGAACAAAGAUCCUCUCGUUUAUGCCAGCCAAACCAGGCUGCUUUCAUUAGUGAUUUGGGACUAGAGUGAUCCGUUGGCUGGUGUCUGGCUUCGAAAAUUAGAGGUGGUUUUUAGUUAUUUUCAGGUGGGGUUUUCUCAAUUUCCACGUCUCAGCCUAAAGAAAAGAAGAGAGCAUAGCGAGAGCGGAGUCACAGAAUGGGUGGAGAUGGGAUCUUGGGGUUCGGAGAUGUUGAGCAAAUCAAAGAAGCUACAAGCGGAAAGAGAAGGUGGUUGAAGAGGAGAGAGAGAUGGCUUGUGGUUCUUGGGGUGGUUCUACACGCAGUUUACAUGCUCAGUAUCUUCGAUAUCUACUUCAAGACCCCAAUCAUCCAUGGCAUGGACCCGGUCACUCCUCGCUUCAAGGCUCCCGCCAAGCGUCUCGUGCUUUUGGUUGGUACGGUCUCUAGAGCACCAUCUAUUCGCUGAUUUGAUCCAGCUAAUUUCACGAGUUAUUGGCAUUGGAUGUAAAGUGGGUCCGUUUAGUUUUGUAUUGCUGGUUGUUUAUUUGAUAGUAGGGACUAAUUGGUUGCUUCGAGCAUUCUAAAAGAUCUUUAUUUAUUUAUUUAUUUUUUGGGUAUUUUUUGCAUUGAAUCAUUGUGGUUUAUUAAAACUGAACACCUGGUUCUGUGAUUUCCACUGCAACCACUUUAGCAUUUCUUCGUUGGCUGAAAUCCGAUAGGUUCUUUGUUAGAAAAUUGAACUACUUUUUCUGUAUAUUAUUGUUGAUGGAAUGUUUUCAACCCUGAGUUUCUUAAAAUUUUGAAAUUGGAAUGUAAAUGCAGCGGAUGGGUUACGGGCUGACAAGUUUUUUGAGCCAGACUCUGAUGGAAAUUACAGAGCACCUUUUCUGAGGAGCAUAAUUAAGGAGCAAGGUCGGUGGGGUGUGUCUCAUGCUCGUCCUCCAACAGAGUCAAGGCCUGGACAUGUUGCUAUAAUAGCUGGUUUCUAUGAGGAUCCUAGUGCAGUUACAAAAGGUGUUUUUUCUGUCUUCUUUUACCAACUUAAGAAAAACUCUCUGGUUCAGUCUUUUACUGCUAUUCUUCCUGGAAGUAAUUCUUAUAACUUGUAGAAUGCAUGAUUUUAUGCUGUUGGAUUCUGUUUACCAAAGAUAAAUUCUGUUGCAGGAUGGAAAGCUAAUCCAGUUGAGUUCGAUUCUGUGUUUAACCGAAGCCGGCAUACAUUUGCUUUCGGUAGUCCAGAUAUUGUUCCAAUAUUUUGCAGUGCCCUGCCACACAGUACCUGGAAUUCAUAUCCUCAUGAGUUUGAAGACUUUGCUACUGGUCUGGUACUAUUCUUUUAACACUAGUUAUUCCGGUUAUAGAAACUUAUUCUCCAUUAUGGAUAUUUAAAUUGGAUGUUAGAAGCCCUAUUUCCUGUUCUUCCAAAACAGAAGGAAGUUCGAUAGAAACUGUUAUGGUUUAACUGUCUCGUCUAAAAGCUCUUUCAUUCUCAUCAUAUUUACAUUUUGCUUUAACUUUUUUGUAUGCUUUUUUUUUUCAUUGACUAGAUUGGAUGCAUGAUGACCAUGUGCAUCCCUCAUAUUUUCCACUUGUUAUGCUUGUCUUAACAUCAAUCAUUUCAUUAGGUUUUGGCUAAUGUAUGAACUCCCUGUUUAGUAAACUACUCUGUGGUGUCUCAUCAUUCUGAUACAUGCCUGCAUUGACAUCUUGAUAAUAUAAUUUUAAUUGAAAAUGCUUUGUCAAAUAACAUUAGGGGUGAUAUGCCUGAUGGGUACUAUUGGAUGCCUGGUGGCUAUCCUUGAUAACACUGAGGAAACCUGCUGAACAUGCUUGAGGUUCCCUGGAAAUGGCUGUGAUGAUUUAUAUUUCUAAUUUCUUAUCUUGAUAUCAGAAACUGUUGCCACUAAACCUAAAACUAUUCAAAACAAGCAUUGUUUUCAAAUUCAAUAAGUAACAAGCAUUGUUUUCAAAUUCAAUAAGUUAUCUUAAACUUGAUCAAAGUAAUUUGUCCCAGUCAAUUUUUUUAUUGACUCAGCAGCAGCUCACUUUCAAUCUAACUUACUGGAGUUGGAGUCUGCUAAUUAAUUAUUUAUAAAUUAGAUCAUGGUCUUAGUUCACAUGUUUGAGUUCCAAAGUGCUCUGCGAAUUGCCCCUUUUUCUAUUUUUCAUGUGUUUCACAUAAUUUUUUUAGUCUUCAUUAUAGGGUGAAAAAUAGUAUAGCUUCUUUUAUUGGUGUCUGUAUAAGUAAAUGAGUUCUAAGCCAAUUGGGCUGACUUUAAAGUUGAAUGGAGUUUAAUUUUGAACUACAUAAAAGAGUAAAAUUGUGUUGUUUGUCUAGUUUAAUUUUUUUUAGACUAAGCCAAAAUGUGGCACUUAAAUUUUUCUGCAUAUGCAUUUAUGUGUGUCAAUGUGUGAUAAAAAAGAAAUAAAAAAUGACUUAUUACUACCUACUAUGGUCAAUGGCCUAUUGGCUAUAAGUAAUAUGUUAAUGGUGUAAUUUUCAAUUCUACUAGACACCCACAAAUGUUUUUCGCAAAUUCAUUUGUAUAGUUGCUAAAUAAAGAUGUUAUAGCUUAAUUUUUUUUGUGUAAUGAACGGCUCUCUCUCUCUCUCUCUCUCUUCAUGGCGUAGUCUUUCAGUUUAUGGAUCUCUCUUUGAGUAACAAAACCUUAAGUAUAUAAUUAGAGCUCUAUGGUUGGUGCAACUGUCGUUAUCUAUAUAUGCAAAUAAUAUAAUAUCAUGUCUCCCAAUCUGGAUGGUGGUCUUAUAAAUUGGGAUGCCUUAUUUUUAUUGAUGUUUUAAAUACUUCUCACCCUCAUUUGUUAUAUCCUUCUUCCCUGUUGAUAAAAAGUUCUGUAUUUCUUUUAUGUCUUUCUUAAAGAAUAAAAAAUGUGUAAUCUUGGGUACUUCUCACCCAUGUCAACAUCAUACUUUUCUAUCCUAAAAACUAAGGUGUGUUUUCUCAGUUUUCAACAUCUCAUCUGUGCUUGUUGGCAUUCUGUAUAUCUGUCUGAAGUCGGAAUUAUAGACUUUUACUGAACUUUUUCCUCCCAUCAGUUGUAACGUAGUGCUAAAGUUCUUACUGGAAAUUUAAUUUUCCUGAAGUAAAAAUUUUCUAAUAAUAUUGUGGGCACCAAGUUUUUUUGUUUUUAUAUAUCAACCUCUGUAGUUCUCACUUGAAUCAAUGCUUUCCUGAUUUAAUAGUGUUAAUGCAGAUGCAUCCUUUUUGGAUGAGUGGUCCUUUGAUCAAUUCCAGAGCCUUCUGAAUAGCUCCAAUAAAGAUCCAAAAUUGAAGCAGUUACUUCUACAGGAUAACCUCGUCAUAUUCCUGCAUCUACUUGGUUGUGAUUCGAAUGGUCAUGCACAUCGGCCCUAUUCAUCUAUCUACCUUAAUAAUGUUAAGGUUGUUGAUCGUAUUGCUGAAAAUGUUUAUAAUCUUGUUGAAGACUUUUUCAAGGACAAUCAGACAGCAUUUAUUUUUACUGCUGAUCAUGGAAUGAGUGACAAAGGUAUGAAGCUUUUAGAAUAUGUAUAUUAGUGGAACUUGAAUUUCUUUUGUUUCAUUGCUCUCAUUCAGGUUUUUGUCUUGUGUAACCUGCUCAAAGCUUGAAUGUUGUUGAAUGCAUGAAUAGUGGUCACAAGCACUCCAUAGCAUUUGAUGAUUCAUUAUGUUUAUUGAGCAAUUUUUGCUUUUUUGACCAGACAACAUUUGAUGAUGCAUUAUGUUUAUUGAGCAAUUUUUGCUUUUUUUGACCAGACAACAUUCUAUAGAUGGUAGGGAAGCAAGCUAAACAAGCCUGAUUCUUUACUUGAAUCAUUUAAGGAAUUUAGUCCACCUCCACAUGUCCAUGGUGAUCUCCUUAACUAGUUAAUUUAGCUGGAUGGCUAUUGAAUUGUUCGAGCCUCAAAAGUUUCACAUAAUCCAAGCACCGACCUCACAUCCACCGCCAUGACUACCCUUCCAGAAAAGUGGAACAAAAAGAAGUGAAUAAAAGGAAUCACUUAACUUAUAGCAAUAUAAUUGGUUGAGCUCAAAGGUUUUGGUAAUCUACUUGAAUCCAUGAAUCUAUACUACCUUGGAGCAAAAAGUGAUUGUGUGUUACUGAAAAAAUAAAUGAAGAAGAAACUUCUUGUUGGGUGGCUGAAUUAGGCAUAUAAUAUGCAUUUAAUAUGACAUUAUCCCAUUGGAACAGUUGACCCACCUGGUUAACCAUUUUGACCAACCUUGCCAGUUCCUCAAUGGCUAGAGUAGUGUUCAAACUUUGAAGCAUUGGUUCCUUAGAUUUGAAUGCUACUAACAUGAUCUGCUCAGACAUGAAAUAUGAUAUUUCCUGUCUAUUUACUUAAGAUACUGUUUAAUUUGGUUUCUCUUGGAUCAGCUUAAGAAGGGAUGGCUGCCUUCUCGGAGGGAGAAGGAGCUCCGAAGGGGGGCAAGUGCUGGUUUGCUGUGGAAUCAAAGACUUUUGAGAUCUCUAUUGAAGAGACUCGAGGCAAACUGAGGGGGAUUAUUCUGGAGAGAAGCAAAGGCUUAUCUUCCUGGAUAAAAUUUGGAGAAAAGAGCCUCAGUUCUCUGUUGGAAGGAGUGGAAGAGUGGUGCAGAGAAGAAUCAAGUUCAAGGAGCCUUAGAGCUUGGGAAGAAGGAGGAAGGAAAUAUAGGUUGGAGUGUCGUUCAAAUGCUGCAGGUAGGUAUCUGCUAUGUUCAGUGAGGGACUCGGAGGCAAAGAGGUUUUGUCUGGUUUUCCCAGAAGGUAAGGGCUUAGUAGGUGGUUGGUUCAUGCUGGCUCAGAAGCUAAGAGCCCUUGGAAUAACUUCUCAACCCAUGAAGAAGUUUGAUCUGGGUAAUUCCACCUCUGUAAAGGAAGAUUAUAGAGGUAAAGGAAAAGAGAAAGGGAAAGGAGUUAUUCCAGAUGCUGAAAGAGUGGAGAAAGGAGAUUUAGGGGAAGCUUUAUGGGUGGAUGUUGGUGAGCGAGACUUGACCAGAAGGGAAGUGCAGCUUAGCCGCUGUUUGGUAGGAUGUUUUGGUGAUAGUGUGGAGGAUGUUCCGCCUUUGUCCUUUUUGGAAGAAUGGGCGUAUGAUAGCUGGUCUCUCAAGGGAGGUUUAAAAAUCUCCCGGUUGGGUGGAGCCUUAGUGUUGUUCGAAUUUGAAGACAAAGUGGAUGCGGAAUGGGUGCUAUUAAGGGGUAGUAGAAGGCUCCAGAGGAGAGAGUUUUUCUUGCAGAAAUGGGGACCUGAAGUGGGUUGUUGCAGAAAUGGAAGCCACCCAAAGGAUGUGUGGGUGAAAGUAGUCGGACUACCACUUCAUCUUUGGAGUAGAGAAGUGUUCAAGAGUAUACGAGAGAGAUGCGGGGGAUUCAUAGCUGUGGAUGAGGAUACAGCCUUUUUCUCCGAGCUACAGUGGGCUCGCAUUUUGGUGAAAGCUCCGGGAAAGAUCAAACAGGGUACACUACAGGUGAUAGCCGGAAAAUGCUGCUGGACGGUGAGUCUUUGGUGGGAAAAUCCCCCAUGGUUCUCGGAGGUGGUAGAGAGGCGGGAGGUCAGGGAUGAGGGUAGGGGAGAAUCACGCGCCAGUGGUAGCGUGAGAGGUUUUCAAAAUGGCAAAAGUGGUCUGCAGGUUCAGGCGUCAGGGAUUUAGGUUGAGUGUGGCAGAGAGCAAGGUGAGGCGGCAGUUGCAGGGGUGGAUGAGGGAAGGAGGCCCUUCGCAGGUGAUCUGGGCCAUUUAAACAACGGGUUUGGGCCCAGUAAAGAGAAGGGACAGGCAUAUAAAGGCAUGAGUGUCUUGGGCUUAAGUGAGGACAGGUUUUGGGCCAAAAGCCCACUACCCGCUAGUUUUAAAAAGAAAGGCUGGGGGUGGGCUUCUAAGCCCACUUCUGGAAAGGAGUUGGAGGUGCGGUCCUCCUCGGCUAGGGCUUCCUCUGUUCCCGCGGAGACUGAAGAGGGGUUGGAUCCAGAGCUCAGGGUGUUCCAAGCUGAAAAUGCCGUCGGGUCGACGCCGCGUGGAUGGAGAGGCACCGACGAGGCUCUAAUGGAGGAGCUUCCAGGUACGAUGCUGGUCCUUCUCCUCUUUCUCAGCUGGGGCAUCGGGGACACUCCCACCUUUCUUCUCUCUUUGGGGCAUCNNNNNNNNNNNNNNNNNNNNNNNNNNNNNNNNNNNNNNNNNNNNNNNNNNNNNNNNNNNNNNNNNNNNNNNNNNNNNNNNNNNNNNNNNNNNNNNNNNNNNNNNNNNNNNNNNNNNNNNNNNNNNNNNNNNNNNNNNNNNNNNNNNNNNNNNNNNNNNNNNNNNNNNNNNNNNNNNNNNNNNNNNNNNNNNNNNNNNNNNNNNNNNNNNNNNNNNNNNNNNNNNNNNNNNNNNNNNNNNNNNNNNNNNNNNNNNNNNNNNNNNNNNNNNNNNNNNNNNNNNNNNNNNNNNNNNNNNNNNNNNNNNNNNNNNNNNNNNNNNNNNNNNNNNNNNNNNNNNNNNNNNNNNNNNNNNNNNNNNNNNNNNNNNNNNNNNNNNNNNNNNNNNNNNNNNNNNNNNNNNNNNNNNNNNNNNNNNNNNNNNNNNNNNNNNNNNNNNNNNNNNNNNNNNNNNNNNNNNNNNNNNNNNNNNNNNNNNNNNNNNNNNNNNNNNNNNNNNNNNNNNNNNNNNNNNNNNNNNNNNNNNNNNNNNNNNNNNNNNNNNNNNNNNNNNNNNNNNNNNNNNNNNNNNNNNNNNNNNNNNNNNNNNNNNNNNNNNNNNNNNNNNNNNNNNNNNNNNNNNNNNNNNNNNNNNNNNNNNNNNNNNNNNNNNNNNNNNNNNNNNNNNNNNNNNNNNNNNNNNNNNNNNNNNNNNNNNNNNNNNNNNNNNNNNNNNNNNNNNNNNNNNNNNNNNNNNNNNNNNNNNNNNNNNNNNNNNNNNNNNNNNNNNNNNNNNNNNNNNNNNNNNNNNNNNNNNNNNNNNNNNNNNNNNNNNNNNNNNNNNNNNNNNNNNNNNNNNNNNNNNNNNNNNNNNNNNNNNNNNNNNNNNNNNNNNNNNNNNNNNNNNNNNNNNNNNNNNNNNNNNNNNNNNNNNNNNNNNNNNNNNNNNNNNNNNNNNNNNNNNNNNNNNNNNNNNNNNNNNNNNNNNNNNNNNNNNNNNNNNNNNNNNNNNNNNNNNNNNNNNNNNNNNNNNNNNNNNNNNNNNNNNNNNNNNNNNNNNNNNNNNNNNNNNNNNNNNNNNNNNNNNNNNNNNNNNNNNNNNNNNNNNNNNNNNNNNNNNNNNNNNNNNNNNNNNNNNNNNNNNNNNNNNNNNNNNNNNNNNNNNNNNNNNNNNNNNNNNNNNNNNNNNNNNNNNNNNNNNNNNNNNNNNNNNNNNNNNNNNNNNNNNNNNNNNNNNNNNNNNNNNNNNNNNNNNNNNNNNNNNNNNNNNNNNNNNNNNNNNNNNNNNNNNNNNNNNNNNNNNNNNNNNNNNNNNNNNNNNNNNNNNNNNNNNNNNNNNNNNNNNNNNNNNNNNNNNNNNNNNNNNNNNNNNNNNNNNNNNNNNNNNNNNNNNNNNNNNNNNNNNNNNNNNNNNNNNNNNNNNNNNNNNNNNNNNNNNNNNNNNNNNNNNNNNNNNNNNNNNNNNNNNNNNNNNNNNNNNNNNNNNNNNNNNNNNNNNNNNNNNNNNNNNNNNNNNNNNNNNNNNNNNNNNNNNNNNNNNNNNNNNNNNNNNNNNNNNNNNNNNNNNNNNNNNNNNNNNNNNNNNNNNNNNNNNNNNNNNNNNNNNNNNNNNNNNNNNNNNNNNNNNNNNNNNNNNNNNNNNNNNNNNNNNNNNNNNNNNNNNNNNNNNNNNNNNNNNNNNNNNNNNNNNNNNNNNNNNNNNNNNNNNNNNNNNNNNNNNNNNNNNNNNNNNNNNNNNNNNNNNNNNNNNNNNNNNNNNNNNNNNNNNNNNNNNNNNNNNNNNNNNNNNNNNNNNNNNNNNNNNNNNNNNNNNNNNNNNNNNNNNNNNNNNNNNNNNNNNNNNNNNNNNNNNNNNNNNNNNNNNNNNNNNNNNNNNNNNNNNNNNNNNNNNNNNNNNNNNNNNNNNNNNNNNNNNNNNNNNNNNNNNNNNNNNNNNNNNNNNNNNNNNNNNNNNNNNNNNNNNNNNNNNNNNNNNNNNNNNNNNNNNNNNNNNNNNNNNNNNNNNNNNNNNNNNNNNNNNNNNNNNNNNNNNNNNNNNNNNNNNNNNNNNNNNNNNNNNNNNNNNNNNNNNNNNNNNNNNNNNNNNNNNNNNNNNNNNNNNNNNNNNNNNNNNNNNNNNNNNNNNNNNNNNNNNNNNNNNNNNNNNNNNNNNNNNNNNNNNNNNUGCUUAAUGAGAAGGGCCAUCAGUGGGGGCUUUCUAUCUGGAUGGAGGAUUAGAGGCAGGGGUGGAGAAGGGAUUAUGAUAUCCCAUUUGCUCUUUGCGGACGACACCUUGGUGUUUUGUGAGGAGUCCCAGGAUCAGUUGACGUAUCUAAGUUGGCUUCUCAUGUGGUUUGAGGCUUGCUCAGGUUUGAAAGUUAACUUGGAGAAGAGUGAGCUUAUUCCGGUGGGGAGGGUGACUGAUAUAGAGGAUUUGGCUCUGGAGUUAGGUUGUAAGGUGGGGGGUCUGCCUUCUAGGUAUUUGGGUUUGCCUUUGGGGGCACCUUUCAAAUCAGAGGUGGUAUGGGAUUGUGUUGAAGAGAGGUUUAGGAAAAGGUUGGCUAUGUGGAAGAGACAGUAUAUUUCCAAGGGGGGAAGACUCACCCUUAUUCGGAGCACUCUUUCCAGUUUGCCGGUUUACUUCAUGUCUCUUUUCCUUUUGCCCAGAAAAGUUAGGAUGCGGUUGGAGAAGAUUCAGAGGGACUUCCUGUGGGGGGGAGGUGCUCUUGAACAGAGGCCUCAUCUGGUUAGGUGGACUCUGGUUUGCUUGGAAAAGAAGAAAGGUGGUUUGGGGGGUAAGAAACUUAGCGUUGAUGAAUAAAGCUCUCUUAUGCAAGUGGAAUUGGCGUUUUGCCACUGAAAGAGAGGUGCUGUGGAAGAAAGUGAUCAGUCACAACAUGGUGUAGAGGAGGGGGGUUGGUGUACUCGGCCGAAGAGGGAGCAUGGUGUAGGGCUGUGGAANNNNNNNNNNNNNNNNNNNNNNNNNNNNNNNNNNNNNNNNNNNNNNNNNNNNNNNNNNNNNNNNNNNNNNNNNNNNNNNNNNNNNNNNNNNNNNNNNNNNNNNNNNNNNNNNNNNNNNNNNNNNNNNNNNNNNNNNNNNNNNNNNNNNNNNNNNNNNNNNNNNNNNNNNNNNNNNNNNNNNNNNNNNNNNNNNNNNNNNNNNNNNNNNNNNNNNNNNNNNNNNNNNNNNNNNNNNNNNNNNNNNNNNNNNNNNNNNNNNNNNNNNNNNNNNNNNNNNNNNNNNNNNNNNNNNNNNNNNNNNNNNNNNNNNNNNNNNNNNNNNNNNNNNNNNNNNNNNNNNNNNNNNNNNNNNNNNNNNNNNNNNNNNNNNNNNNNNAGAAACGGUGGAUCAUCUUUUACUCCAUUGUGUUAUGACGAGGACAUUGUGGAAUCUUCUUUUUUCUCUCUUUGGUGUGGAGUGGGUUCUCUCUGGUACAGUUAAGGAUACUCUCCUGGGGUGGCAUGGAGCGUUUGUGGGGAAAAUCCGUAAAAAGGCGUGGCAAAUGGCCCCCUUAUGUAUAUUUUGGUCAGUGUGGAAGGAAAGAAAUUCGUUGGCUUUUGGGAACAAGGUGUUGUCAAUCCAAAGGUUGAAACAUUCUUUUGUAUGUAAUUUGUGGUCAUGGGUGAGGAUGUUUAUAGUUUUGAGCCCGCGGUCUCUGGUUAGCUUUAUUGAGUGGCUAGGCUUUUGUUAUAGGUAGGGGUUUUGGCUCGCUUCCUUGGUGUAGUGUCGAGGGGCUGCUUUUGUAUACUCUUUGUAUACCUAGAGGACACUAGUUUGGUGUUUCCUCUUUCAUUUUAAUAUACUUCACUUUACUUAUCAAAAAAAAAAAAAAAAAUUUGGUUUCUCUUGAGUUUAUUUGAUACUCUUAAAUAUCUCUUUCUUCUCAAUGGUUCAUUUUAUCCAGUGGAUUUUGCAACUGAGAGAUUCAAAUUAUUAUGCUUUUGCUGAUAGGAAGUCAUGGAGAUGGGCAUCCUUCAAACACUGAUACACCCCUUGUUGUUUGGGGAGCAGGCGUUAAACAUCCUAGACCAAUGUCUGAAAGCAACCAUUCUGAUUGUGGUUUUCGUUUUGUGGAUGAACAUAUGCAUGACACACCGACACCUAUAGAAUGGGGUCUGAAUGACUUGGAAAGGGUGGAUGUUAAUCAAGCUGAUAUUGCACCACUAAUGGUUGUACAGUUUGUCUUUCUCAGGUUUCUUCUUUGAAGCUUAAUUAUUUACUUAAAAACCUUUUUUAUUUUAUUUUUCUGGUGUGCUUAUUGACUUUUGGCAGUCAACACUUCUUGGUUCUCCAUGUCCUGUUAACUCUGUUGGCAAUUUACCCCUCGGCUACAUUAACAUGACAGAGGUGAGUUCAACCCUUGAUCAGUAGUUCACUUCUUAGUUUUAAUGAAGGAUUGCAUGUUUUGUCAUGGAUAUUGGAAUGCAUUUUGUUUUGUUUUCCAUUUUAUGAAUUGAGUUGUUCCAGAUUGAGAAUGAAUGAGUGAAAAUAUGACAUCUAUUUUGUUUUAUUUUUUAUGUCCAGGCAGAUGAAGUUGAAGCUGUGCUCGCUAAUACAAAGCAAGUUCUCAAUCAGUUCCUUCGCAAGUCAAGUAUCCUCUUUAUAUAUCAAACUAUUUCUUAGUUUUGUGGGCGUUAAGCAUUGCUUCCCUUUUUCCCCAUUGCUUUCUGUAGAAGAUUAUUGACUUUCUUCUGCAUCUCUCUAAAUUUAUUGAAUUACUUUUCCUUGCUCUCUGAAAAUGUAACAUAGUUGUUCUGUUUUCAAAAUUUCAAUGGGUACAUAUUAUUUUUUCAUGCUUUUAUUUUGUCUAUCAUCUAUUACUUCGAUCCUGUUAUUCAUUUGCCCAUUACAUAAAAAGGCUGUUAUUCAUUAGUUACAUCUGUCUAAGAAUUUCUUCAUCAUUUAUUAUUUUAAACCUUCUGGAGAUAUGGGGGAUAGGAGGGCAAGAAGCAGGGAAUAACUUUGCUAUUUUCUGUUAAUUUUCUUGACAAGCUCAGAAAUAAAGCAGUCAAAUUCGUUAAAUUUCAAGCCUUUCAAGCCCCUGGCUCAUUAUUCCUCAGUAUUGGAUCAAAUUGAAGAUCUGAUAUCUGUUAAAGACUAUGAUGCUGCAAUGAGAGUAGCUCAAAAUCUCAAAAGUUUGGCACUGGAGGGGCUUCAUUAUUUCCAAACUUACGAUUGGUUGAUGCUGAUGACUGUAGUUACCCUUGGUUACAUUGGAUGGAUGGUAUAUCUUGUUCUCCAUGUGCUACAAAAUUAUACCUCCUUGCCAGAAAAUAUGUUCAGAAAGGAGCAAGCAGUCCAUCUAAGAAAUUACACUGGAAAGGUAAUGUUCAUAUCAACUUAAACUCUUGAAAUUACAUUUGUCCAAAAAUAAGAAAAAGAGCAGGAAACCAAAAGAAAGAAAGAAAGAAAGAAAUGAAGAGGGAGAGUGAGAUAAGACAUGUUAAAUAUAUGAAGUUUGAAUGCCACCCCCCCAUCUCCCCAAUUGUGGUGGCCUGGUGCUGUGAAUGCAUGAAGUUCAGGCCUCUUUUGUAUUUUUCAAUACUUCCUAUUUAUUUGCAUUUUGAACGUGUAUCUCUUGAAAACUUUGAUAUAAUAGGAGUUAAUUAAGAAACAUUUGUCCAAACAUAUGAAGUUUGAAGCCCUUGUUGCCAGGUGCUUUGAGUUCUGUGGAAACCUGAAGUUAAUGCCUCCUUUGUAUUUUUCAAUACUCUCUUUUCAUUUGCAUUGUGAAUUUAUAGCAAUGUAAAAAUGAGAUACAAAUAGGAGUUAAUUAAGAAUGUAGCUACUUGUGGAUUCUUGUGGGAAUUGGUUGGUAGUUUAUUUCCUUCUCCUUGUGUUGCAAUCAUGUCUGAACCUUUUUGAAAAGGAGUAAGCAUGUCAUCAGAGAACAUUCAAUUGAGAAACAAUCCAAGCAAGUAAUGUUUAUGUUAGUUUAACUUGCGGUAAAAUGCAAUAACUAAUAUGGUUAGUAAAAACAUUUUUUAAAACGAAAGGAAAUAGGAAACAAAUGAAAGAAUUAGUUUGAGUUGCUGGACUCUAAACUCUAAUCAAAAGUCCCCCUGAUUAUAUAUUUGCUGCCUAAUGCAUCUGUUUGAACUCUAAACAGAAGUUCUCCUGGCUGAUUAUGUGCCCCCCCACUAUGCGCGUUUUUUUUUUCUAUUCCAACUGGGCUAGCUAAUGCUAUAUAACCAUUAAAGCAUGCCAUCUUGCACUUUAUAUGUCAGCCUUGCUGAUCUAUUUUUCUGUUUGUUGGUUGUUCUAUUUGUGCCUUAUUUGCUUCUUUGUGGUGGGUAUCUGUCUUCCCCCUCUGUUAUGUAUGGGUUGAUGGAUGAGGAAUACCACAUAAAUUUUACUUGGCAAAUGACAAAUGUUCCAAACAUGUUGAUGACACUUAUGAUCAAAACAGGUUAUAAGUAGUUAGAUUUCUUCUUUAACAAUUUUUACAACUAGUGUUACACACCACUUGGUCAAAAAAGAAAAAAGAAAAAAGAAAAAAAUGAAAAACUAACAUACAAGGAGCGAGAACUGGAGUUUCUUUCAACAUCUCCAAUCAAGAAUUUGGGGAGCUUGCAUGUCCCAUAUCCUCACUCUUCCUUGUUUAUCUUUUGCCUUCUUUUUGAGAUGUGAGAGUUUGAUCUUUGGGUUCCUUAGGCAUAUUCCUGGUUAGUUUCCUUUUUAAAGCUUUGUCUAUUUCUGUUAAUAUGGUCAUUUUCCUUCUACUAAAUUUCAUUUGGAACUCUGAAGCCUCUUGUAGAGCUGAGCCUUGGCAUGGCUUGUAACAAAUAAGAAAGUUAAUUCCAAUAGUGUGCUUCAAAAGAGGAGGCCUUUCAAAGCCCUUUGCCCUGAUUGGUGCAUUAUCUGGUUGAAGAGGGGAGAAACAGUUGACCCUUUUUUUGGCAUUUCUCAGGACUAUUGCAUAAGCUGUUCAAACUUGCUAGGAUUGAUUUGGCUUCUCCCAAAAGUGUGAUAGAGAUGAUGGUAAUUUCCUUAAGGGGUUUUGAAGAUCUUUUGAGGGGUUGAGUUCCUGGUAUGUGGCUAGCCUCACUGUGAUUUGGACUAUUUGGCAAGAGAGAAAGGUUGGGAUAUUUUAAGACAAGUGAAGAUCUACCGGGAACUCUUCAGGACUUGACUUAUUGGUAUACUUCUACCACUGAUGCCUUUGCUAGUAUGCCCUUGUUAUCAUCGGAUUGGUAUCACAUUUGUAGAACCAAGAAGUUAGGCAAUGACUCAACCUGAGUGGUUUCCACCUCCAGUGAGCUCUAUAGAAUUUAAUUUCGAUGGUUGUUCCUUGGGAAACCUAUGACAGUUUAACUGAUGACAGCUUGGGAUUGGAGGAAUGUUAGAAGAUAAUUGUGUGGUACUCAAAGCACUUUCUAAACCAGUGGAGAGCAUAUAUUGGUAUUGGUAUUGCUACUGCUAUUGAGGCAGAUAUACAACCUCUGUUAGUGGGGUUUAUUGCAGCCUAAAGCUUUUAUUCUUCAGAUUUGUGGGUUGUUGGUGACUACGCCAUUUUCAUUUUAGCCUAAAGAAAAGAAGUUUAUGGAAUGGAAGUAUGAUGGUGGAACUGUCAAAUUUUUUAUGUUACUAGACACUUGAGAUGUUCUUUUUCUUGGCUCCAUACAUUGCUAACCAAGAAGUGGAUUUUUUAGCCAAGUGAGGGGCCAAACACUUUUAGCAUUCUUUGUCGGGGACUUUACCCCCUUGAGCUAUGAUCUGUAGCUUUGGAUUGUAUUUUUGGUUUCCUUCAUAAGUCGUGCUGCUUAUUUUGCUCUUUUUUAAUGAGAUUGACAUAUCGACCCUUUUUUAUCAGUUUUUUCAUUUUUGUGUAAAUCUUGGAAAGAGUCCUAUCCUUCUUUAACUUGAUGAGAUUUAAUGUAAUGUAUUAUCUUGUUUCUAGUGAAGAAAAAUAGAAAUCCAAUGCAAUAUAUUUUCUUGUUUCUGAUUCAGAAAAAAAAAGGAUAAAAAAAAUCCAAGAUAUUGUAUUUGUUUUAAUUUAGUUAAUUUAUACAUUAUAUUUUAUAAAGCAUUGCUCAUUCACAUCUUUUCAGAGCUCUGUAGCAGGCUUCUUUUUCACUACCACCAUUUACUCUCCAUCAUGUGUCAUUCAUCAUCUAAUUUCAUUGUGUCUAAUUAUGCAUUAUAUUUCUUAUAUUUCUUCUUAUCUAUGACAGGUAUAUCUUUGUGGAUAUCUGUUGAUUGGAGUGCUUUGUCUUCUGCUGUUCCUGGAGCACUCUCCUCCCCUUUACCAUGCAUACACUGCUAUGACAGUAUUUCUCUGGACACAAAUAUUUAGUGAGUAUUGGUUUUUGAAAGGAUUAUGGAGACACUUACGUCGGAGUAAAUAUGAUUAUAUCAUUAAACUCCUUGCAACUUGUGCUGUUUCAAUAUUCAUUCUUGAAUUCCUGGUAUGUGGGGAUCAAACUUAUCAACAAUUGUUCUGUGAUUAUCCAUGUUGAAGUGGCUUCUGAGCAUCCUAAUUUGUCUUAAUUGGCACAUUGUGCAGGUGAACAGCUUCACUGAGAGGAAGCUCUACACUUGGUGCUUUCUAGUAGUGGGAGUUGUUGCUUCUGUUUUUCUUUUUAAAUCAAUUCCAUGGAGAUCUGGGAUACCAAUUUUUGUGUGGGUUGCAUGUUGGUUUUUGUCUGUUUUCACUUUGAUGCCAGCAGAAAUUCCUGAUAAUAAUCAACUAGUGUAAGUCAAUUCACUCAAGUUUGUCCCUCUGUAUUCCUUAUUUUGAUCCCUUGAAAUGUCAAAGCUUUUUAUAGGACCAGACAGUUAUCAUGAUUGCCAUAAUUGUUAGUGAUGUUCCAAAUUGUUCAAACUGUCACAUAGGGAAGCCAAGGGGUAAUUAAAAAAUGUCUGGCUGUCCCAAAUUUUAUUACUUAAAAGCCAUAAGAAGAGGAAAUAUCAUCAAAUAACUUCAUGAUAUUAAAAUAAAUGCUCUCCCUGUUGUGAAUACUCAAAUUCAUCCUUUUCCCCAAAAAAUUAUAACAUUUGUUAAGGUCAUAUGCUCAAUCAUUGACAAGGAACCUCUUCCAUUUAGUGAGUCCUUUUUUAUUUUUAUUUUUAUUUUUAUGGUUGAAUUGCUGUGGAAAAUAUAGGACGAGAAGUUAAAAUUCUCUCUUAUAUAAAUUACGUGUGUGGGAUUAAGCUACACUAUGUUAGUGCCUUUGUGGAUGAAUGUCUGAUUAGUUAAUUGCUUUACAUUUGCAAAAGAUGAUUGUACAUUGUGUUUGAAACUACAUUUAGUUUGCCUCCUCUUUCUCAUGGAGUAUCUGGCCUUCCUAGUUUAAAACUGAAGUUUAUUUAUAUAUAACACUAUUAUAUCAUUAACAGGAUUAUAAAAUUGUAGCAUCAAUUGAGGAUAUUGGUUCAAUUGGUUGUUAUGUGUGAGUUGAUCAUGACUUGUGAGUUAACAAUUAUUUUUGUGUAGGAUUGCAAGUGGAAUUAUGAUUAUCAUGAUAGGAAUAGCUGCAAGGAUACUGGAUAUGCAUACUGAAAGGAAUAAAUAUUGGCUAUGCAUCCUUAGUCAUGAUAGGCAGAAACACCGGUUCCCCAUGCUCUUCCACUUACAGGUGCAGAAUAUGUCUUUUACUCUCCAGAUAUUAGAAUCUUAAAAAUUUUUGCUACUAAACAAUCUGAAAUUAGUAUUUUCAUUACAUUAAAAUUAGGCACUUUUGGUUGGGUUGUCAUCAUUGAUGGUGUCAUUAUCAACGUCUCACAGAACUCAAAAGCAAGAACUGCUUCCAGCGCACCAGUUGAUUAACUGGUCUAUUGCUGGUAUACUUUUGGCAUAUCCCUUUUUUCUGCUUUGUUUUACCAAUGCUAUUCAGGGCUUUCCUAUACAGUUUAGAUUAUCAAAUGAUUUAUUUUUCUCUUUCUCCUCUUUUUUUUUUUUUUUCAAUAAUUAACUAAAAUACUCAAAAUGUUCAUUUCAUUUUAUAUGGUACUAACUUUUUUUUAUUUUUUUUUGUACUGUACCAACUGGCACUGAUAAUUAGCAUACCGUUUCUUUGUGUUAACCAUGUGCUUACUGAUAGAACAUUGCUUUGAUUGAUUGAGUGCACUGUAAGUGACUAAUAUUGUUAAGAAACCUUAUCUGCAAAAAUGGCAUUUCAUACUGGAAGAGAAAUUAUUUAAGCUAAAAAUGGAAAUGAGAACUACAUCUUCAGAAAAAUUUCAUAUCAAGCUUACAAUGUAUUGUCUGACUACAUUUUGUACAUUGAUCAUUAGGCCUAUAGCACUACAACUGCACAAACAUAGCAUAUUUCUAGAUUGAAUAUAAUCACACACAUGUAAUUCAAGUACCUGAAUCAUUAGUCUGUUUCUUUGUUAUUUAUAAGCAUUGCUGAUUUUUAUUUUGACAAACAUGCAUUAAUUUUUUUUUUUUUUUGGGUAGAGAUGCUCAUUGUUUCUGUAUGUUUACUCUUUCCUUUUUGAACCUUGUAUGAUUCAAUGCCGAGUUUCAUCAGCUUGAAACAGUCAUGGCUGCAUGUUUGUUUAUUUAUUUAUACUAUUUAUGAUUUUAAUAAGGAUACAUGUCUAACUUAUCCUGUUAAUUUGUUUUUCAGGUUUCUCGAUGGUUCUCCCUUUGUUUUCAGCAAGUGGCCUCUUGUCCCGACUGACUUCUAUAUUUCUUGGCUUUGCACCCACAUUCCUACUUCUAUCAAUUGGGUAUCUCUAAUUUCUAGAUCACUGUGAUGCUAUUACUGGUUUAACAAUUAGUGGACAUGCAGAAUGUUCAGAUACAAAUAAAUGACAUCCUUUUGGUAAAACUCAUGCAGAUACGAAGCUGUCUUCUAUGGUGCACUUGCUCUUGUACUUAUGGCAUGGAUGCUAUUUGAAAAUACACUUCUCUAUUUAAGUAAGGUGAAAAUGUCCUCUGCUUCCAUGAAAAAUAUGGAGGGUAAAGUCAUCCUUGACAAUGAUGAUAGAUGCUUGCAGUUGUUUGAUGUGAGAAUCCCAUUGAUCUUUGUAAGUCACAUCCUGCUCCCCCUUUUCUAGUCUGUGAUCAGUUAAUGAACUUCAUCUUGUUCAUGCUUUCCCCCCAUCGGAUUAGUAACAAAAACACCAGCAUGAAGUACUAGGGUCUAUGUCUGGAUUUUAGCUCAUACACCUCAGUUAUAUCUACUGUACCAUGACUUAAAAUCUGUUCAUUUUUAUUUUAUUUUUUUUUAUCUCAAUUUCCAUUUUUUCUUUUAGCAGAAGAGUUCAUUUUCUUAUUUGACAUAUUUGGUUUUUGAACUUCUCUUUUAGAGCUUUCUUACAUCAAAUACUAACUGAACUGAUGGAGGGGAUCAUAGUUUUAAAUGGUGCAAGGCGCACCUAAGACUCAAAAGUCUUCUAUAGUUUAGGCGCAAGGUGCAACACCAAGUGCACAUGUGAGUGAAGCGAAAUCUAACUUAGGAUGCAUAUAAAUUAAUAUAUGAUCCAAAAUCUAAUCCAAUCAAUAAAAAAUUUAAGAUUCCAAAUAUUUUAAAAAAGUGUUGAGCAAAAGAGGUAAUAAAAUUCUAUAAAUUUCAAUAUAUAAUUAGAAAUUUAAAAAAUAAAGGUGUUUAAAAAGGAAAAAUAAAGUAGAUAAGUUGUGCCUCUUGAACAAGGCACAUGUCUUGGCAAGCAAGGCCCUAUAACUAGUGAGUGGUUGCACUUUGGGCCCAUGCGUGCUUUAAGUGCACCUGUUAAAACUAUGUGGGGGGGAUUUGAGAUUCAGGACCAGCAUUGUAUUUACAAUCUGAAUACAAGUCCAUUAUUAAUUGCAUUUAUGAUGAUCAUUUUAACCUCCACAAACAAGUGCCUCUUCAUGAAUUUCUACAGUAUUCGGGGGAUUUGAGGCUCAGGACCAGCAUUUUAUUUACAAUCUGAAAAAAGGUUCAUCAUUAAUUGCAUUUAUGAUGAUCAUUUUAACCUCCACACACAAGUGCCUCUUCGUGAAUUUCUACAGUAUUUUGCUGAAAUCACAAUAUGCACCACCAUUGACAAAUUUGUGUAAAGGUCUAAUUAUGUAAAUAAGUUGAAUAACUUAUUUUAAAACUGUAUUGAAAGUUCACAUAGUCAUGACAUCUAUACAGCUCUAAUGGCCUUUUUCCCUCUGUAGAUGGUCUUAUUUAAUGUUGCAUUUUUUGGAACGGGUAACUUUGCAAGUAUUGCAAGUUUUGAGAUUUCCUCUGUUUAUCGGUUCAUCACAAUCUUCAGUGUAAGUAAAGGUUAAACAUCUGAAGAUAAUUUUUUGUCCUUGUUUGACAUCUAGUGCUGAUCUGACACUAUUACUUCUGAUUGCAGCCAUUUCUGAUGGCAGCCCUACUUAUUUUCAAGUUGUUUAUACCAUUCAUGCUUGUCAUGUAAGUGAAAUUACAAUGUUUAUUAUAUCUCAUAGCCAUUAGCUAGCUAUAUAUCUUGAAGAUUAUUCUUCUGUUUGAAGACUCAUAAUCUGUUAUGACAUUUUGAUUCAGGCAUAGAUUUCAAAUUUUUGAAGUUGACUUAUAGAAUCUACAUAUUAUUAUGAGAACUGCAUUAGAUCCAAUUCUUUUUCUCAUUAUUUUACAUUGUUUGUGAUUCUGCACUAACAUGGGUGUAUUUUAUGCCCAUGUUAUGUGCUGUUAUAUUCACUUAUGUUCUUAUUUUGGACAUUUAAAAAUAGCAGUUUUCAUAUUUUCCAUGUGGUAAAUUUGAAUGCAGAUGCGUGUUUAGUGCAAUAACCAAACUAAUUCAAAUUCCACGGUUGGGAUGCUAUUUCCUCGUUAUACUAUUUUCAGAUGUGAUGACUAUCCACUUCUUCUUCCUGGUAAGUUCACUGUAUUCUCCAUGGGUACUUUUAUUUCUCUGCAUUCUUAUUUCUUCCUUAAUUUGAAUGAAACCUUGGUCUCAUGGUUCCUUUUCCCAAUCAUACUAAAAGGGCUUUGCAACAGUUCCAUUUUAUAGCUCACAUAGAUAAACUGACCUAGUUUUCAACAAUUGUGGUUAAAAGAUGUGAAAUCUUCAUUCUUUGUAUCUAUAAGCGUGUGAUUGUUCUGCAUAUUCUUUUUGUUGUGAAAACCCAAAUGUGUUUGAUUGACACUUGUUUUUUUGCAUGAGUAUGUUAUAUGGCCUUGUAUUCACUUCCUCGGCAAAGUCUAUUCUUUUAAAUAUUUCAUUUUGCUUCUACAAAAAUCUCACAGGCUCUUCCAAUUUUAAAGCAAGCUCACCUUUUUGAAUUUGAUGGCAUCAAACAAAAUGGUGCUUCUCUAAUUUUUUUUGGCCCAAAAUAAUCUUGCAAACAAAUCCUCUUUCCUUUUAACAGAGAUUUCAUUCAAGUUUGAGGGAAUCUAGCAUGUGGCUGUGGUUUCCAAAGAAUGCCAGUAGCAUUCUCUGGGGUCAUCUCAACUCAAACCUACUGAAAUCUAAAAAACAACUAUUUUUAUGGUGCAAACUCACCAAAUCGUCCACUUAUUGUGUGGGUUUAGAUCAGCCAUUAUAACAUUGUUCCACCAAAGUUUCUUGUAAAUACAAGUGAAUAUCAGAAAUCAAGCUUGUAAUUUUUAUUUCUCAUAUUUUUUGGGAAGUGGGAUGUUUGGGUCAUAAAAGAGUCUUUAGCCUUUGUGGAUCAUGCUUUGAUUCCUAAAGCUGCCACCAAAUAGUUGGCAAUAGGAUUAUUGACUGGUUGGUUUGGGGUUAGCUGAGUGGAAAUAUGAACACAUGCAUCUUAUUACAUGUUUCUGAAAGCUUGCUGAUAACAUUAUGAUGGGUAACAGGUUCGAAAUACGGGAAGCUGGAUGGAAAUUGGUAACAGCAUCAGCCAUUUUGGAAUCGUUAGCGCACAAGUUGUGUUUGUGCUAUUGCUUUUUGCCCUCACAAACAUAUACACAAGAGACAUUCAGACCAGAUCUGUUCUACCAUCCUCUAGGAAAGCAUUGUAGGUCAUUUGAAAUUGGGAUUUCAGCACCAAAGUCAAAUUGCCUUCCUUCCUGAAAGAUGAGCAUUUUUUAUACUCUUACAUCGGCUUUUAUGGAAAUGAAAUCAGCUUCUCAUUCUGUUACAUAUUUCAAUUUUACUGCCUAUAACUGCUCACUGGCUGUUUGUGAGAGGUAUGGACCCAUGGGACAUUAUCCAGAUUUUCCCUGAUCAAUUAUAGAAAGGUCAUUGGACUCAUCCAUGAUUGGAAUUUCCUGUUAUCAUUAUUUGCAAAUCAUCAACCAUUUGUCAUGAUAUCUUAAGUUCAGCUGAGCAAGAUUUUCAGCUAAGAUCCUCAGAACUAGAAAUAUGCACUGCAGGUAUUACUUGAUAUGUGAAUAUCCAAUACGAUAUUUUUUUACUAAGAGGAAUACGAAUUUGAAACACUUUCCAAUAAUUUAUCAAGUCAUAUUUUUGUGUUGUCGUGAUACAUGUGUCUACUGUAUGCAUGGCUUUUCUUUUCUACACAUGCCUUUAUCUUUGCACAUGACUCUUUUGAUACACGCCAGCAUCAAGGCAAUUGCCUAAAUCUAAAUCACAUCCUUUGUGUCACGUCUUCCUUGUGUACCACGGUCCCUCUUGUACACCAUGGUCCCUUAAUGUAACUUGUGCCACAAGCCCUUUGUGCAUGAAUUCAAACUGUUCAAUCAUUUCGCCAUUUAUACCUUUUGAGGUCCAACAAGCGUAUACAAGAGACUACACUCAUUCUAGAUGAUGAAGUACAUUCUAAUGAAAGGAACCAUGUUGAAGACUCGUAUCCCUUUAUGUGUGAGAUUGAUUUUAUCUUUGUGUUUUGUACCAAGUAUGUUAGAAUUGAAGCUUUUGCCUACAUAAGUGGCAUGAAAGUUUUCACUAGCUCCAAAUCCCUAACACACACAACCUUGGCUUACUUCUUGAGCCGAUACAAAAAAUCAGAGCCUUAACUCAUCCCGACCCCUAUAAGAGGCCCUAGCCAUCACAUUGGAGCUUAACCAUCUUACAACACAUCCAUCAGAAUUUAGACUAUUCAUAGAAACAUUCUUAACAUGUAAAUCUACUAUUGCCAUGCACGUCAACAUAGAAUUUCUAAAAUUUUUGGAUAAAAUAAAUAAAACAAAAGAAACCCUCCCAAGAGAAUUUCAUAAUCUAAUGUCAAAUCUACUACGAAGAUGAACAUCAUAAAAUUUAAGGUUUAUAAUCAAAGUCGACUUGAAUCUGAGUUUUAAAACCAAUUUGCAGUUUUUAAGUUUGGAGACUAGAUCUCUUAAACCAAUUAAAUGUAAAAAACUACAAAGAAAACUUCAAUUUUUGAAAUGAAAAUGAGAAUGCAAUUCCUAACUAGUUUCUUCAUCAAAAAUCCCCAAAAAAAAAAAAAAAAAAAAGAGAGAGAGAGAGACCAUAGACGCCAGUGUUUGGGUUUAGAACCACCCAAGGGAGAGUAGUCCAAUAUAUGGGCUUAAGAAAAUCCUCAUGGGCUAAGACUAGGAACAAUCUUGUAUCCGUGGUUGGUUUAGUAUGAGCAUGUGUACUGCGAAGGAAGUAGCUGAGAAUUGCAAUGGAAUUUCCAGUAUUGCUUCCUGAACGAACAAAACGCAUACCCAAGACUUGGUCGUCAACGCCAUGCUGGGUGAGAACCGGGGAAGCAUCUUCGCUCGUUGACGAGCUUUUGUAGUCUUUCUUUAACAAUUAUAAGGCAUCUGAAUUCCCUUCAUCCUCCCACACCAUUGUUUUUGGUCUUAUUCUUGUUGCUUUGUGACUACGCAUCUCCAUGGAAGGAAGGAGGAUGAACCAAGUUCCUUUGUAUGCAUCAAUUUUACUGUUUUUUUUUUCCUUUUUAAUCUUUGGAUCGAAUCAUUGCUUAGUUCUUGCUUAAUUUCUCCAUUUUAUGGUGGGUCUUUGAUUGCAGGUUUAGCUCUGCGCGAGAACUGGGAAAUUUAAUUGUGACCUCCAAUCUAAUCGACUCUGCUUUGACUAAAAUUCUUGAGCUUCAAAGAGACCAAACAGCCUUGCCUUCCCCCGUUCAAUACAGAGUUUUUUAUCCAUCUCCCAAGUGCACAAUUGUAGCUUUUGUCUCUUCACCUGACUGCACUCAAAACCCUCUUCCUGGACAAGGAGAUUUAGUUCCCUCUCCUCUCUUUGACUUCCUCUGCACCGAAGAAUACCCUUCCGUCUCCAUUAACGGAGCCGCAUUAACCCUCUUUACCUCUCUCUACGAUCAUCUCUCUGGACUAAUAGAUGAGGUCAAAAUCUGAUACUUGUUUUAAUUUACGUUAACUUUUCGUUAACAAUUGUGAGACACGAAACAGCUUGACCAUGAGAUCUCCCUCAUGGAGUCAAAACCCGUGUUGGUAUCUGUUUUUAGAUCAACUUAUAUAUAUAUAUAUAUAUAUAUAUAUAUAUCUUGUGGAUAAAAGGAAAGUUUACAAGUGAGAAUAGUGGCAUUUUUCUGACAGAUUUCACACCGUUGCUUGUUUUGCAGUUGACUGUGAUUGAAGGUCGAUUAAUCAUCACUGGGCACUCGAUGGGAGGAUCCGUUGCUUCUCUCUUCACCUUAUGCCUGCUAGAAGUCAUUAAUAUAUCAAAACCCAAAUGCCGCCCCAUUUGCAUCACCUUUGGUUCACCCCUCAUAGGCGACUUUGGCCUCCAACACUCCAAUUGGAAUUCUUUCUUCUUGCAUGUAGUGUCCAACCAAGAUCUAGUCCCCGGACUCUUCCUCCCAUCCGGCAGAUCUCCUCCCACAUCCUCCCAUUCACAAACUACUGGUUACAAGCCCUUUGGGACAUAUCUCUUGUGCUCUGAACUUGGUUGUGCUUGUUUUGACAACCCUGAUUUAAUUUUGGAAUUGCUGAAAGUCAUAUCAUCAGAGGUUGCCGGAGGAUUGCGGGAUGUUGAUUACAGGAAGAUUUUAAUAAACCUCAAGGAGAGGGCAAUCUUCAAGGGACUUCAGCAGGUGGGUGAAAGGUUUGCAGAUCCCUUGUCAGCUGGGAUCGUCAUGGACCUUGAGAUAAUUGGAUUUGAUCAAACAAAGGUAAACAGCUUUCUCCCAAUUAAUGAUGUAGUAUGGUUUACACUCAACUUCACCAAAACCUGCAACAACUGCCCUAUUUAGAUUUGCCUUCCUGUUCUUUGGGUUCUUCUAUAACUUCUCAUUUUUUAAAUUCAUGGCAGCUGUUGCGGCACAACAUUGAUAUCAACACUGUGAUAAGGAUACUGGGAGUGGAAGCCAGAAUCCUAGCCCACAAAAAUAAAGCUUCUGAUGCCAAGAAACUGAAUGACAUAAAAAUACACAUGGCCCAGCUAGAAUGGUAUAAGAAGAAAUCAAAAGAUCUGAACAAGGGUUACUACGACUGCUUCAAAAACCAGGGGUCAAAAAGGGACAUUAAAAUUGAACAGUAUAGGGGACACCUCACAAUAUACUGGAAAGACAUGGUUGCACAAGUACAGAGGAAGCCCCAGAAGGAAGGAGCAUCAUUUCGAACCAGUUGGCUCUAUCCAGGGACAACUUAUAGAAGAAUGGUUGAACCACUGGACAUUGCUGCCUUCUACAGAGAGGGUAGAACAGACUACAUAAACAAUGGAAGAUCUCCUCAUUACAAGCUGUUGCAGCAAUGGUAUGAGGAAGAUGUGAAGCCCCCAUCCAGAGAUAAGCUCGAUUCCAAGAAACUAAAGGUGUCUGGUAUCCUAACUGAGGAUUCUUUGUUUUGGGCACAUGUGGAGGAGGCUCUCUUGUCAUGCGAAUCGCUCAAGAGUGCAAACUCUACUCUUGAGCAGAGAAAAUCAUCAUGGGAUAAUCUGGUUAAGUUUGGGGAGUAUGUAAUGGAACAGAUUGGAAACUAUGCAGUGUCCCCUGAGAUUUUCUUGGGGGAAAGCAGCUUCAUGAAAUGGUGGGGAGUGUAUGAGGACUACAUAGAUGCUUCCAAUAAUUCCUAUGGGUCACCAUUGAUCAGCUUUAUGAAGAACCGUAGUUAUAGACUGUAUGGUUAGAGGGCAAUCCAGUUUGUGUAUUGUGUUUAUUGUAUUGUGAGCAUUCAAUAGAUAAAACUAGAAAGAGCGUGACCUUUUUAUGACAACUUUAGAAACCAGGGGUUAAAAGAGACAUUACAAACUGAAGUUUUUGAGAGGAAACCUCAAGAGUAUACUGGGAAGCCAUGGUGGAACAAGUAGAGAGGAAGCCUCAGAAGGAAGGAGCAAUGGUUGAACCACUUGACAUUGUUGCCUACUACAGGGAGGGUGUAAGAAACAACAUAACCGAGGGAAGAUCUGAACGUUAAACGUUGUCCAAUUAUUAUAAAUGUCUUAUACAUUACGUGUGAAAAUACCAAAAAAAAUUAUAUUCAACAUUUAUGUUUGUAUACAAGCAAUAUUUUGGAUAGUUUGAUAUAAAAAACAAAUGAAGAAAAUGAAGAAAAACAUACAAAUAUAUUUACAAUGGACAAACUUAUACAAUUAGUAUAAAUGUCUUGUAUAUUUAGUACAAAUGUCUCGUACUUUGUAAAAAUAUAAAAAUAUAGUAUUUGACUUUUAUAUAUGUGUGAAAAUGUAAAAAGAAAAAGAAAAAUAGUUAGAGCAUUUGGUACCGUGAGUGAUGACUUCACCUAAAGAAAGGUUAAUGAAUAUUAUGGUCUCGAUGGAAGAGCGACUCCGGUAAAAUAUAUGGAUUAAAUUGAUGCUUUUCUUUUGACGAUGAAGUAGUUGAGUUAUGAAUACGAGGUUUUGCUAACAGCAUUGAAGGCAAGGAUUCCCUAAUAUACUCCAAUUCAUAUUCAAUUUGUAGACCUUCAACUAACUACUCUUGCUAACGAGCAUAUCCAAGUCAAUACAUAAGAUUAAUUAAGAUUAAGUAUUACGUAUGAUAAUUGAAACCCUAUUUAAAUAAAUAAUGACACAUAUAUAAAAAAUAUAUAUAUUUUUAAAAAAAUAAAUAACAAUUUAGAGAAUUUCAUAACUUAGCAUCAAACCUAUUGUAAGAAAGAGUAUUAUACAAUGUAGGGUUUAGGAUCCAAGUCAACCUAAGAUCAAAUUUAAGUUUUAAGAUCAAUUCACAUUCAAAACUAAGGUUUUAAGUUUCAAAAAUAUAUUUCUUAAACCAAUUAAAUGGAAAAAAGAAAAUUACAAAGAAAAUUUCUCCCUCAUCAGUUUCUUUUAUCUUGAAAACUAAAGGAAAUAUAUAUCAAUAUUUGAGAUGGAAAUUCAUAAUCUUAGGUGGUGUUUGUUUUUUUGGCUUUUUGCUGAAAACUAUUUAGUUUUAGAAUUUAGGUUUUUUUUUUUUUUUACUUUUUCAUGACUUAUAAUAAACUUUUUACUAAAUAGAAAAAACCAAAAUAUGUGGUUUUUUCUAAAUAGAAAAAAUAACACAAUGGUUUUUUUUACUUUUUAAUACUUAAUAGAAAUAAAAUACUACAAAAACAAACAUCUUAAUAUUUAAUACUAUUAAGUAUUAAGGUUCUAUUUAGAAUUAAGUAAAAAAACAAACACCACCUUAGAAACACAAAGAACAAAGAGAGUAUGAAGAGACCAUACCAUGAGAGAUUUUCCGAAAGGUUGGUAAACCAUGGUAAUCACCUUUGAGUCUUGCUGAGAAAAACAAACCUUAUUUAUUUUUAUUUUUUUAUCAUUUUUUCUCUUGUGUGGUGUACAUUUAAGAAAAACAAAUCUCAAAAAAAAAAAAAAACACAAACCAAAUAAUGCCAGAAUUUGGGUUGAGAAACACCCAAAAGAUAGUGGCCCAAUACAUGUGCCUAAGAAAAUCUUCAUGAGCCGAUAAACAUAGUCACAAAACUAGUAACAGCCUUGUAGCCAUAGUUGGUGUAGUAUGAGCAAGUGGGGUAUGAAGUAGGUAGGUGAGUAUUGCAAUGAAAUUUCCAGCACUGCUUCCUGAAUUAAGAAAUCACAUACCCAAGUCUUAGUCGUCGUCGUCGUCGUACCGUGUGAGAACCGGGAAGAAUCUUUGCUCGUAGACUGGCUUUUGUAGUCUUUCUUUAACAAUUACAAGUUAUCUGAAUUCCCUUCAUCCUCCUAUAUAAUAUUGUUUUGGUCUUGUUCUUGUUGCAUUGUGGCUAGGCAUCUCCAUGGAAGGAAGGAGGAUGAAUCAAGUUCCUUUGUAUGAAUCAAUUUCUCUGCUCUUUUUUUUUUUCAAUCCUUGAAUCGAAUCAUUGCUUAGUUCUUGCUUUAAUUUCUCCAUUUUCUGUUGGGUCUUUGAUUGCAGGUUUAGCUCUGCAAGAGAACUGGGAAAUUUAAUUGUGACCUCCAAUCUAAUCGACUCUGCUUUGACUAAAAUUCUUGAGCUUCAAAGAGACCAAACAGCCUUGCUUUCCCCCGUUCAAUACAGAGUUUUUUUAUCCAUCUCCCAACUGCACAAUUGUAGCUUUUGUCUCUUCACCUGACUGCACUCAAAACCCUCUUCCUGGACAAGGAGAUUUAGUUCCCUCUCCUCUCUUUGACUUCCUCUGCACCGAAGAAUACAAGUCCGUCUCCAUUAACAGAGCUGCAUUAACCCUCUUUACCUCUCUCCACGAUCAUCUCUCUGGACUAAAAACUCAGGUCAAAAUAUGAUAGUUGUUUUUAUUUUCGUUUCCUUUUUGUUAACAAUUGUGAGACAUGAAACAGCUUGACCAUGAGAUCUCUCUCAUAGAGUCAAACUACCUGAAGAAGAAGAAGACGUUACACAUAUCCAUCUGCGUUGCAUCAUCGCAUUACCCAUUGAUCGGUUGUGAUUCAACUCUUAAUAGGAAGACAGUAGAACUGGUGUUGGUAUCUGUUUUUAGAUCAGCUUAUAUGUAUCUUGUUGCUAAAAAGGGAAUGUUUAGAAGUGAGAUUAAUGGGAUUAUUCUGACAUGGAUUUCAUAUGGUUACCUGUUUUGCAGUUGACUGUGAUUGAAGGUCAAUUAAUCAUCACUGGGCACUCCCUGGGAGGAGCCGUUGCUUCUCUCUUCACCUUAUGCCUGCUAGAUGAAAAUUUAUUAAAACCCAAAUGCCGCCCCUUUUGUAUCACCUUUGGUUCACCCCUCGUCGGCGGCUUUGGCCUCCAACACUCCAUAUGGAAUUCUUUCUUCCUGCAUGUAGUGUCUAACCAAGACCCAGUCCCCGGUCUCUUCCUCCCAUCUGGCAGAGGCAGAUCUACGCCCACAUCCUCCCAUUCACAAACUACCGGUUACAAGCCCUUUGGGACAUAUCUCUUGUGCUCUGAACUUGGUUGUGCUUGUUUUGACAACCCUGAUUUAAUUUUGGAAUUGCUGAAAGUCAUAUCAUCAGAGGUUGCCGGAGGAUUGCAGGAUGUUGAUUAUGGGGAGAUUUUAAGAAACCUCAAGGAGAGGGCAAUCUGCAAGGGACUUCCGCAGGUGGGUGAAAGGUUUGCAAAUCCAUUUUCAGCUGGGAUCAUCAUGGAACUUGAGACAAUUGGAUUUAAUCAAACAAAGGUAAACAGCUUUCUCCCAUCUAAUGAUGUUAUGGAACAUGGUUUACACCUCAUUAAAUACUGCAACAACUGCCCUAUUUAGAUUUACCUUCUUGUUCUUUGGGAUUUUCCAUAACUAGACUCAUUUUUUAAUUUCAUGGCAGCUGCUGCAGCAUAACAUUGAUAUCGAGACUGUGAUAAGCGCAAUGGAAGCGGAAGCAAGAAACCUAACCCAGAAAAAUAAAGCUUCCGAUGCCAAGAAACUGAAUGAAAUAAAAAUAGACAUGACCCGGCUAGAAUUGUAUAAGAAGAAUUCGAACAUGGGUUACUACGAUUGCUUCAAAAACCAGGGGUCUAAAAGGGACAUCCACGUUGAACAGUUUAGGGUAAACCUCACAGGGUACUGGGAAGGCAUGGUUGCACAAAUACAGAGGAAGCCUCAUAAGGAAGGAGCAACAUUUCGAACCCGUUGGCUCUAUGCAGGGACGGUUUAUAGAAGAAUGGUUGAACCACUGGACAUUGCUGCCUUCUACAGAGAGGGUAGAAAAGACUACAUGAAUAAAAGAUCUGCACAUUACAAGCUGUUGCAGGAAUGGUAUGAGGAAGAUGUGAAACCCCCCUCUAGAGAUAAGCUUGAUUCCAAGAAGCAAAAGGUGUCCAGUAUCCUAACUGAGGAUUCUUGCUUUUGGGCACAUGUGGAGGAGGCUAUCUUGUCAUGCGAAUUGCUCAAGAGUGAAAACUGUAAUCUUGAGGAGGGAAAAUCAUCAUGGGAUAAUCUGGUUAAGUUCGAGGAGUAUGUAAUGGAACAGAUUGACAACUAUGCAGUGUCCCCUGAGAUUUUCUUGGAGAAAAGCAGCUUCAUGAAAUGGAGGGGACUGUAUGAGGGCUACAUAGAUACUCGCAGUAAUUCCCAUAGCUCGCCAUUGAUCAGCUUUAUGAAGAAUCGUAGUUAUAGACAAUAUGGAUAGAGGGGUAAUCCAGUUUGUGUGUUGUGUGUAUUGUUUUGUGAGCAUUCAAUGGAUAGAACUAGAAAGAGUGUGACCUUUUCCUUUUUUUUUUCAGUUGCUGCCCAUAUUCUCAGCACUAUUUUCUUCCUUCUUUUCCUCAGUUUUUUUGUUAAGAAAUGAAUAUUAUGAUGUUGCCGGGAUGCACUUUCAUUUUUGUUCCAUUACAUUGUGUUUUAUUCAUAUCCUAAACAAAUAAAUGUAAACAAGAAAAUCAAAUGAGACUUCAAAGAGUCUGUUCCUUUUAAAGCAAGGGAAAAAAAGGACAUGUUUGUUUACUUCCACAGCUGGGUAGAUUCAACUCCACCAAAAUUGGCAACAACUUCCCAUUGAAAAAUUCCUUUUAAGCUUGAAUGACAUAAAACUAGAUAUGUUCCAGCUAGAAUGGUACAAGAAAGAAAUCAAAAGAUGAGCACAAUGGGUUAUUAUGACAGCUUUAGAAACCUGGGGUGUAAAAGAGACAUUAAAAUGGAACCGAGGGGAAGACAUUGUAGAACAAGUAAAGAGGAAGCCUCACCAGGAAGGGCAGCUUUGCAAACCCUCUGGCUCUGUACAGGAACGAAUUAUAGAAAGAUGGUUGAACCACUUGACAUUGCUGCCUACCACAGAGAGGGUGGAAGAAACUACAUAACCAAUGGAGGAUGUAAACAUUACACGCUAUUAGAGCAAUGAUGCAAUGAAGAGAAGGGGACUUUGUCUUCCAAUAAUUUAAGAAAAUAAAACCAAAUAAUGCCAGAAUUUGGGUUGAGAAACACCCAAAAGAUAGUGGCCCAAUAUGAAGUAGUCACAAAACUAGUAACAGCCUUGUGGCCAUAGUUGGUGUAGUAUGAGCAAGUGGGGUAUGAAGUAGGUAGGUGAGUAUUGCAAUGAAAUUUCCAGCACUGCUUCCUGAAUUAAGAAAUCACAUACUCAAGUCUUAAUCGUUGUCAUCAUACCGUGUGAGAACCGAGGAAGAAUCUUUGCUCUUAGACUGGAUUUUGUAGUCUUUCUUUAACAAUUACAAGUUAUCUGAAUUCCCUUCAUCCUCCUAUAUAAUAUUGUUUUUGGUCUUGUUCUUGUUGCAUUGUGGCUAGGCAUCUCCAUGGGAGGAAGGAGGAUGAAUCAAGUUCCUUUGUAUGAAUCAAUUUCUCUGCUCUUUUUUUUUUCAAUCCUUGAAUCGAAUCAUUGCUUAGUUCUUGCUUUAAUUUCUCCAUUUUCUGUUGGGUCUUUGAUUGCAGGUUUAGCUCUGCAAGAAAACUGGGAAAUUUAAUUGUGACCUCCAAUCUAAUCGACUCUGCUUUGACUAAAAUUCUUGAGCUUCAAAGAGACCAAACAGCCUUGCCUUCCCCCGUUCAAUACAGAGUUUUUUAUCCAUCUCCCAACUGCACAAUUGUAGCUUUUGUCUCUUCACCUGACUGCACUCAAAACCCUCUUCCUGGACAAGGAGAUUUAGUUCCCUCUCCUCUCUUUGACUUCCUCUGCACCGAAGAAUACAAGUCCGUCUCCAUUAACAGAGCUGCAUUAACCCUCUUUACCUCUCUCCACGAUCAUCUCUCUGGACUAAAAACUCAGGUCAAAAUAUGAUAGUUGUUUUUAUUUUCGUUUCCUUUUUGUUAACAAUUGGGAGACAUGAAACAGCUUGACCAUGAGAUCUCUCUCAUAGAGUCAAACUACCUGAAGAAGAAGAAGACGUUACACAUAUCCAUCUGCGCUGCAUCAUCGCAUUACCCAUUGAUCGGUUGUGAUUCAACUCUUAAUAGGAAGACAGUAGAACUGGUGUUGGUAUCUGUUUUUAGAUCAGCUUAUAUGUAUCUUGUUGCUAAAAAGGGAAUGUUUAGAAGUGAGAUUAAUGGGAUUAUUCUGACAUGGAUUUCAUAUGGUUACCUGUUUUGCAGUUGACUGUGAUUGAAGGUCGAUUAAUCAUUACUGGGUACUCGAUGGGAGGAUCCGUUGCUUCUCUCUUCACCUUAUGCCUGUUAGAAGUCAUCAAUUUAUCAAAACCCAAAUGCCGCCCCAUUUGUAUCACCUUUGGUUCACCCCUCAUAGGCGACUUUGGCCUCCAACACUCCAAUUGGAAUUCUUUCUUCUUGCAUGUAGUGUCCAACCAAGAUCUAGUCCCCGGACUCUUCCUCCCAUCCGACAGAUCUCCUCCCACAUCCUCCCAUUCACAAACUACUGGUUACAAGCCCUUUGGGACAUAUCUCUUGUGCUCUGAACUUGGUUGUGCUUGUUUUGACAACUCUGAUUUAAUUUUGGAAUUGCUGAAAGUCAUAUCAUCAGAGGUUGCCAGAGGAUUGCGGGAUGUUGAUUACAGGAAGAUUUUAAGAAACCUCAAGGAGAGGGCAAUCUGCAAGGGACUUCCGCAGGUGGGUGAAAGGUUUGCAAAUCCAUUUUCAGCUGGGAUCAUCAUGGAACUUGAGACGAUUGGAUUUAAUGAAACAAAGGUAAACAGCUUUCUCCCAUCUACUGAUGUUAUGGAACAUGGUUUACACAUCAUUAAAUACUGCAACAACUGCCCUAUUUAGAUUUAGGGCAAUGAUGAAAAUAUCAGUAAUCACGGAUAUAUCAGUAUUUCGAUUUUACGGAUAUAUCGGAUAUAUCGGAGAUAUAUCGGUAGAUAUUUUGAAAAAAAAUAUCGGCAAGCUUAAAAUUGUUAAAAACUCAUGAAAAUAUAAGAAAAUCUCAUAAUAAUAUAAUUAAAAGUAUAAUAGACAUUUUAAAGUUAUUUUAUUGAAAAUUUUGAUAUAUGUAUAACAUGAUUUAUCAUAUUUGAUAAUAAUAUCGUAUGCGUCGAUAAAAAUAUGAAUUUUAUAAGUGUACAUUUAUUAUUAAAUUACACCUAAUAUUAUGAUAUCUGAUUAUAAUAUGUCUAAUUUUAAAAUAUAUAUUAGUAUUAAAAUAUGAUCCAUUUAAUUCAAUUGUAUUAAACAAUAUAAAAUAAAUAAUGAUAUAUAUAUAUAUAUAUAUAAUUUUUUAAUAUUUAAUUAAUUAUUAAUGAUAUUAAAAACAUUAUGAAGAAAAUUAUAUAAUUUUUUAAUUUUUGGUAAUUAAUUAAAAGACUUUGCAUUUAAUUAUAAAUUAAUUAUAAUUAAUUUACUCUUUAAAAUAUUCUUAUAUUUUCUUUAUAUAAUGAAUUUAAGUAUAUAUAUAGUUGUUGCAUAUUAUAUAUUAAAGGACAACUUAGCCCAAGUGGUAAGCGAGUGAACCCCAAUGUGAGGCAUUGUAGCACGUGCACUGUAGCAUCACUGUAGCGACUCUGACUUUCGUUGACCCGCAUUGACUACACGAUAUAUCGGAGAAAAAUCACUGAUUUAUCGCCAAAUCACCAAUAAAUCGCCGAUUUCUCGCGAUAAAUACCAAAAUAUAGUGUCGAAACCCUUCGAUACACGAUUUUUCGGCGCAUUUUCUUACUUGGAUUUACCUUUUUGUUCUUUGGGAUCUUCCAUGACUCAUUUUUUAAUGCCAUUUUAUUUUCCUUUUUGUUUCUAAAUUUUUAAAAAAUCGUUUUCACUUCUUUUUUUUAAGAAAAUUUUGGCAAAUUUUGAAAAUAUAAUAUUAGUGUUUUCACUUCUUUCUUUUUUUUUUUUUUCUUUUUUUUUUUAAACUCAAUUUUCUAAAAAAUGAAAAUAGAAAAACAUUGUCUAAACAUGUUUGUAAACUUAAUUUUAUUUUUUUAUAAAUGAAAAAAAAAAUCUAAAUGAGUAAGGCUUUAUUAAUUUUAAUUUUUUUCUUUUCCUUAUAUUUUCUUAUUUUAUUCCAAAUUUUCUUGCAACCAAACAUAAUCUAAAUGUUUACAACUUUUAUUGUAAGGAAUGAAUGACACUACUUUGUGAACUUUUAUGAUAAUAUUUUGAAUCAUAAAUUGUGUUUUUUUUAGUAAUAUCAAUUUUAUUACCAAUGACUUAAUUGUUAAUAACAAAAUAUAAUAUUUAUAAAUAUUUUUAUUCUCAACAGGCUACAAUUUUUACUCUUGUGAUAAAAAAAAUUUUGUCAUAAAUUACACAUUAUGAUGAGUUUUUCUAUUUUCCUUAUCAGCCAAUUCAACAAAUAUCAUAUAUAUUGUAAUGGCUAACAAAUUUUCACAUAAAUUUUUUAUAAGAUAAAGUAGAAUGGAAUUAUUCAAUUUCAAAAAAAAAAAAAAUGGUACCUAAUGAAAAAGAUAAAAUAUAUAGAUCAUCUCGAAGAAAUCAGGAAAGAUAAAUGAUGAGACCAUAUAUAGGACCCUUGAUGGAGACUAUUUUAAUUGAAGUGGUGUGCUCCUUCCGACUCAGAACAUGUUCAGCAUUGCACACAAACUAACAUCGUCGAUCUUGAGUAUGAAAAAGGUGAUUAGAUUCCAAGGUUGUCGUUUGUCCCAACUCCUCAUAUUAGAGGUGAUGCUCAAGCUAACGUGCCUCGCAGUUGAGCCCCGGCCAAUCGGUCUAAUAUGCUUUUCCAAUGGUGAGUUUCACUGCCACCAUGUAUUACAUUAAUUCCGAUAGCGCACAAGUUGUGUUUGUGCUAUUGCUUUUUGCCCUCACAAACAUAUACACAAGAGACAUUCAGACCAGAUCUGUUCUACCAUCCUCUAGGAAAGCAUUGUAGGUCAUUUGAAAUUGGGAUUUCAGCACCAGAGUCAAAUUGCCUUCCUUCCUGAAAGAUGAGCAUUUUUUAUACUCUUACAUCGGCUUUUAUGGAAAUGAAAUCAGCUUCUCAUUCUGUUACAUUUUUCAAUUUUGCUGCCUAUAACUGCUCACUGCCUGUUUGUGAGACAUUAUCCAGAUUUUCCCUGAUCAAUUAUAGAGAGGUCAUUGGACUCAUCCAUGAUUGGAAUUUCCUGUUAUCAUUAUUUGCAAAUCAUCAACCAUUUGUCAUGAUAUCUUAAGUUAAGCUGAGCACGAAUUUCAGCUAAGAUCCUCAGAACUAGAAAUAUGCACUGCAGGUAUUACUUGAUAUGUGAAUAUCCAAUACAAUAUUUUUUUACUAAGAGGAAUACGAAUUUGAAACACUUUCCAAUAAUUUAUCAAGUCAUAUUUUCGUGCUGUCGUGAUACAUGUGUCUACUGUAUGCAUGGCUUUUCUUUUCUACACAUGCCUUUAUCUUUGCACAUGACUCUUUUGAUACACGCCAGCAUCAAGGCAAUUGCCUAAAUCUAAAUCACAUCCUUUGUGUCACGUCUUCCUUGUUACCACGGUCCUCUUGUACACCAUGGUCCCUUAAUGUAACUUGUGCCACAAGCCCUUUGUGCAUGAAUUCAAAUUGUUCAAUCAUUUCGCCAUUUACACCUUUUAAGGUCCAAUAAGCGUAUACAAGAGACUACACUCAUUCUAGAUGAUAAAGUACAUUCAACUAACUACUCUUGCUAAUGAGCAUAUCCAAGUCAAUACAUAAGAUUAAUUAUUACAUAUGGUAAUUGAAACCCUGUUUAAAUAAAUAGUGACACAAAUAUAAAAAAUAUAUAUAUUUAAAAAUAAAUAAAUAACAAUUUAGAGAAUUUCAUAACUUAGUAUCAAACCUAUUGUAGGAAAGAGUAUUAUACAAUGUAGGGUUUAGGAUCAAAGUUAACCUAAGAUCAAUUUUAAGUUUUAAGACCAAUUCAAAUUCAAAACUAAGGUUUUAAGUUUCAAAAAUAUAUCUCUUAAACCAAUUAAAUAGAAAAAAGAAAAUUACAAAGAAAAUUUCUUCCUCAUCGGUUUCUUUUAUCUUGAAAACUAAAGGAAAUAUAUAUCAAUAUUUGAGAUGGAAAUUCAUAAUCUUAGAAACACAAAGAACAAAGAGAGUAUGAAGAGACCAUACCAUGAGAGAUUUUCCAAAAGGUUGGUAAACCAUGGUAAUCACCUUUGAGUUUUGCUGAGAAAAACAAACCUUAAUUUUUAUUUUUAUUUUUUUAUCAUUUUUUCUCUUGUGGUGUACAUUUAAGAAAAACAAAUCUUAAAAAAAAAAAAAAAAAAACCAAAUAAUGCCAGAAUUUGGGUUGAGAAACACCCAAAAGAUAGUGGCCCAAUACAUGUGCCUAAGAAAAUCUUCAUGAGCCGAUAAACAUAGUCACAAAACUAGUAACAGCCUUGUAGCCAUAGUUGGUGUAGUAUGAGCAAGUGGGGUAUGAAGUAGGUAGGUGAGUAUUGCAAUGAAAUUUCCAGCACUGCUUCCUGAAUUAAGAAAUCACAUACCCAAGUCUUAGUCGUCGUCGUCGUACCGUGUGAGAACCGGGAAGAAUCUUUGCUCGUAGAGUGGCUUUUGUAGUCUUUCUUUAACAAUUACAAGUUAUCUGAAUUCCCUUCAUCCUCCUAUAUAAUAUUGUUUUUGGUCUUGUUCUUGUUGCAUUGUGGCUAGGCAUCUCCAUGGAAGGAAGGAGGAUGAAUCAAGUUCCUUUGUAUGAAUCAAUUUCUCUGCUCUUUUUCUUUUCAAUCCGUGAAUCGAAUCAUUGCUUAGUUCUUGCUUUAAUUUCUCCAUUUUCUGUUGGGUCUUUGACUGCAGGUUUAGCUCUGCAAGAGAACUGGGAAAUUUAAUGGUGACCUCCAAUCUAAUCGACUCUGCUUUGACUAAAAUUCUUGAGCUUCAAAGAGACCAAACAGCCUUGCUUUCCUCCGUUCAAUACAGAGUUUUUUAUCCAUCUCCCAAGUGCACAAUUGUAGCUUUUGUCUCUUCACCUGACUGCACUCAAAACCCUCUUCCUGGACAAGGAGAUUUAGUUCCGUCUCCUCUCUUUGACUUCCUCUGCACCGAAGAAUACAAGUCCGUCUCCAUUAACAGAGCUGCAUUAACCCUCUUUACCUCUUUCCACGAUCAUCUCUCUGGACUAAAAACUCAGGUCAAAAUAUGAUAGUUGUUUUUAUUUUCGUUUCCUUUUUGUUAACAAUUGUGAGACAUGAAACAGCUUGACCAUGAGAUCUCUCUCAUAGAGUCAAACUACCUGAAGAAGAAGAAGACGUUACACAUAUCCAUCUGCGUUGCAUCAUCGCAUUACCCAUUGAUCGGUUGUGAUUCAACUCUUAAUAGGAAGACAGUAGAACUGGUGUUGGUAUCUGUUUUUAGAUCAGCUUAUAUGUAUCUUGUUUCUAAAAAAGGUAAGUUUAGAAGUGAGAUUAAUGGGAUUAUUCUGACAUGGAUUCCAUAUGGUUACCUGUUUUGCAGUUGACUCAGAUUGAAGGUCAAUUAAUCAUCACUGGGCACUCCCUGGGAGGAUCCGUUGCUUCUCUCUUCACCUUAUGCCUGCUAGAUGGAAAUUUAUUAAAACCCAACUGCCGCCCCUUUUGUAUCACCUUUGGUUCACCCCUCAUCGGCGGCUUUGGCCUCCAACACUCCAUAUGGAAUUCUUUCUUCCUGCAUGUAGUGUCUAACCAAGACCCAGUCCCCGGUCUCUUCCUCCCAUCUGGCAGAGGCAGAUCUACGCCCACAUCCUCCCAUUCACAAACUACCGGUUACAAGCCCUUUGGGACAUAUCUCUUGUGCUCUGAACUUGGUUGUGCUUGUUUGGAAAAGCCUGAUUUAAUUUUGGGAUUGCUGAAAGUCAGAUCAUCCGAGGUUGCCGGAGGAUUGCAGGAUGUUGAUUAUGGGGAGAUUUUAAGAAACCUCAAGGAGAGGGCAAUCUGCAAGGGACUUCAGCAGGUGGGUGAAAGGUUUGCAGAUCCUUUUACAGCUGGGAUCAUCAUGGACCUUGAGAUAAUUGGAUUUGAUCAAACAAAGGUAAACAGCUAGCUUUCUCCCAUCUAAUGAUGUUAUGAAACAUGGUUUACACUUCACCAAAUACUGCAACAACUGCCCUAUUUAGAUUUGCCGUCUUGUUCUUUGGGAUCUUCCAUAACUAGACUCAUUUUUUAAUUUCAUGGCAGCUGCUGCAGCAUAACAUUGAUAUCGAGACUGUGAUAAGCACAAUGGAAGAGGAAGCCAGAAACCCAACCAAAAAAAAUAAAGCUUUCGAUGCCAAGAUUCUGAAUCACAAAAAAAAAGACAUGGCCGGGCUAGAAUGGUAUAAGAAGAAAUCAAAAGAUCUGAACAAGGGUUACUACGACUGCUUCAAAAACCAGGGGUCAAAAAGGGACAUUAAAAUUGAACAGUAUGGGGGACACCUCACAUUAUACUGGAAAGACAUGGUUGCACAAGUACAGAGGAAGCCCCAGAAGGAAGGAGCAACAUUUCGAACCCGUUGGCUCUAUGCAGGGACGGUUUAUAGAAGAAUGGUUGAACCACUGGACAUUGCUGCCUUCUACGUAGAGGGUGGAACAGACUACAUGAAGAAUGAAAGAUCUCUUCAUUACAAGCUGUUGCAGCAAUGGUAUGAGGAAGAUGUGAAACCCCCCUCUAAGGAUAAGCUUGAUUCCAAGAAGCAAAAGGUGUCUGGUAUCCUAACUGAGGAUUCUUGCUUUUGGGCACAUGUGGAGGAGGCUAUCUUGUCAUGCGAAUUGCUUAAGAGUGAAAACUGUACUCUUGAGCAGGAAAAAUCAUCAUGGGAUAAUCUGGUUAAGUUCGAGGAGUAUGUAAUGGAACAGAUUAACAACUAUGCAGUGUCCCCUGAGAUUUUCUUGGGGGAAAGCAGCUUCAUGAAAUGGUGGGGACUGUAUGAGGGCUACAUAUAUGCUCGCAGUAAUUCCCAUAGGUCACCAUUGAUCAGCUUUAUGAAGAACGGUAGUUAUACAGAGUAUCGUUAGAGGGGUAAUCCAGUUUGUGUGUUGUGUGUAUUGUUUUGUGAGCAUUCAAUGGAUAGAACUAGAAAGAGUGUGACCUUUUUCCUUUUUUUCUUCUAGUUGCUGCCCAUAUUCUCAGCACUAUUUUCUUCCUUCUUUUCCUCAGUUUUUUCUUAAGAAAUGAAUAUUAUGAUGUUGCUGGGAUGCACUUUCAUUUUUGUUCCAUUACAUUGUGUUUUAUUCAUAUCCUAAACAAAUAAAUGUAAACAAGAAAAUCAAAUAAGACUUCAAAGAGUCUGUUCCUUUUAAAGCAAGGGAAAAAAAGGACAUGUUUGUUUACUUCCACAGCUGGGUAGAUUCAACUCCACCAAAAUUGGCAACAACUUCCCAUUGAAAAAUUCCUUCUAAGCUUGAAUGACAUAAAACUAGAUAUGUUCCAGCUAGAAUGGUACAAAAAAGAAAUCAAAAGAUGAGCACAAUGGGUUAUUAUGACAGCUUUAGAAACCAUCUUACAACACAUCCAUCAGAAUUUAGACUAUUCAUAGAAACAUUCUUAACAUGUAAAUCUACUAUUGCCAUGCACGUCAACAUAGAAUUUCUAAAAUGAUUGAAUAAAAUAAAUAAAACAAAAGAAACCCUUCCAAGAGAAUUUCAUAAUCUAAUGUCAAAUCUAUUACGAAGAUGAACAUGUAAAAUUUAAGGUUUAUAAUCAAAGUCGACUUGAAUCUGAGUUUUAAAACCAAUUUGCAGUUUUUAAGUUUGGAGACUAGAUCUCUUAAACCAAUUAAAUGUAAAAAACUAAAAAGAAAACUUCUUCAAAUUUUGAAAUGAGAAUGAGAAUGCAAUUCCUAACUAGUUUCUUCAUCAAAAAUCCCGAAAAAAAAAAAAAAAGAAGAGAGAGAGAGACCAUAGACGCCAGUGUUUGGGUUUAGAACCACCCAAGAGAGAGUAGUCCAAUAUAUGGGCUUAAGAAAAUCCUCAUGGGCCUAAGCUAAGACUAGGAACAAUCUUGUAUCCGUGGUUGGUUUAGUAUGAGCAUGUGUACUGCGAAGGAAGUAGCUGAGAAUUGCAAUGGAAUUUCCAGUACUGCUUCCUGAACGAACAAAUCGCAUACCCAAGAUUUGGUCGUCAACGCCAUGCUGGGUGAGAACCGGGGAAGCAUCUUCGCUCGUUGACGAGCUUUUGUAGUCCUUCUUUAACAAUUAUAAGGCAUCUGAAUUCCCUUCAUCCUCCCACACCAUUGUUUUUGGUCUUGUUCUUGUUGCUUUGUGACUACGCAUCUCCAUGGAAGGAAGGAGGAUGAACCAAGUUCCUUUGUAUGCAUCAAUUUUACUGUUUUUUUUUUCCUUUUUAAUCUUUGGAUCGAAUCAUUGCUUAGUUCUUGCUUAAUUUCUCCAUUUUAUGUUGGGUCUUUGAUUGCAGGUUUAGCUCUGCGCGAGAACUGGGAAAUUUAAUUGUGACCUCCAAUCUAAUCGACUCUGCUUUGACUAAAAUUCUUGAGCUUCAAAGAGACCAAACAGCCUUGCCUUCCCCCGUUCAAUACAGAGUUUUUUAUCCAUCUCCCAAGUGCACAAUUGUAGCUUUUGUCUCUUCACCUGACUGCACUCAAAACCCUCUUCCUGGACAAGGAGAUUUAGUUCCCUCUCCUCUCUUUGACUUCCUCUGCACCGAAGAAUACCCUUCCGUCUCCAUUAACGGAGCCGCAUUAACCCUCUUUACCUCUCUCUACGAUCAUCUCUCUGGACUAAUAGAUGAGGUCAAAAUCUGAUACUUGUUUUAAUUUACGUUAACUUUUCGUUAACAAUUGUGAGACACGUAUAUAUAUAUAUAUAUAUAUAUAUCUUGUGGAUAAAAGGAAAGUUUACAAGUGAGAAUAGUGGCAUUUUUCUGACAGAUUUCACACCGUUGCUUGUUUUGCACUUGACUGUGAUUGAAGGUCGAUUAAUCAUCACUGGGCACUCGAUGGGAGGAUCCGUUGCUUCUCUCUUCACCUUAUGCCUGCUAGAAGUCAUUAAUAUAUCAAAACCCAAAUGCCGCCCCAUUUGCAUCACAUUUGGUUCACCCCUCAUAGGCGACUUUGGCUUCCAACACUCCAAUUGGAAUUCUUUCUUCUUGCAUGUAGUGUCCAACCAAGAUCUAGUCCCCGGACUCUUCCUCCCAUCCGGCAGAUCUCCUCCCACAUCCUCCCAUUCACAAACUACUGGUUACAAGCCCUUUGGGACAUAUCUCUUGUGCUCUGAACUUGGUUGUGCUUGUUUUGACAACCCUGAUUUAAUUUUGGAAUUGCUGAAAGUCAUAUCAUCAGAGGUUGCCGGAGGAUUGCGGGAUGUUGAUUACAGGAAGAUUUUAAUAAACCUCAAGGAGAGGGCAAUCUUCAAGGGACUUCAGCAGGUGGGUGAAAGGUUUGCAGAUCCCUUGUCAGCUGGGAUCAUCAUGGACCUUGAGAUAAUUGGAUUUGAUCAAACAAAGGUAAACAGCUUUCUCCCAAUUAAUGAUGUAGCAUGGUUUACACUCAACUUCACCAAAACCUGCAACAACUGCCCUAUUUAGAUUUGCCUUCCGGUUCUUUGGGUUCUUCUAUAACUUCUCAUUUUUUAAAUCCAUGGCAGCUGUUGCGGCACAACAUUGAUAUCAACACUGUGAUAAGGAUACUGGGAGCGGAAGCCAGAAUCCUAGCCCACAAAAAUAAAGCUUCUGAUGCCAAGAAACUGAAUGACAUAAAAAUACACAUGGCCCAGCUAGAAUGGUAUAAGAAGAAAUCAAAAGAUCUGAACAAGGGUUACUACGACUGCUUCAAAAACCAGGGGUUAAAAAGGGACAUUAAAAUUGAACAGUAUAGGGGACACCUCACAAUAUACUGGAAAGACAUGGUUGCACAAGUACAGAGGAAGCCCCAGAAGGAAGGAGCAUCAUUUCGAACCAGUUGGCUCUAUCCAGGGACAACUUAUAGAAGAAUGGUUGAACCACUGGACAUUGCUGCCUUCUACAGAGAGGGUAGAACAGACUACAUAAACAAUGGAAGAUCUCCUCAUUACAAGCUGUUGCAGCAAUGGUAUGAGGAAGAUGUGAAGCCCCCAUCCAGAGAUAAGCUCGAUUCCAAGAAACUAAAGGUGUCUGGUAUCCUAACUGAGGAUUCUUUGUUUUGGGCACAUGUGGAGGAGGCUCUCUUGUCAUGCGAAUCGCUCAAGAGUGCAAACUCUACUCUUGAGCAGAGAAAAUCAUCAUGGGAUAAUCUGGUUAAGUUUGGGGAGUAUGUAAUGGAACAGAUUGGAAACUAUGCAGUGUCCCCUGAGAUUUUCUUGGGGGAAAGCAGCUUCAUGAAAUGGUGGGGAGUGUAUGAGGACUACAUAGAUGCUUCCAAUAAUUUCUAUGGGUCACCAUUGAUCAACUUUAUGAAGGACCGUAGUUAUAGACUGUAUGGUUAGAGGGCAAUCCAGUUUGUGUAUUGUGUUUAUUGUAUUGUGAGCAUUCAAUAGAUAAAACUAGAAAGAGCGUGACCUUUUUAUGACAACUUUAGAAACCAGGGGUUAAAAGAGACAUUACAAAUUGAAUUUUUUGAGAGGAAACCUCAAGAGUAUACUGGGAAGCCAUGGUGGAACAAGUAGAGAGGAAGCUUCGGAAGGAAGGAUCAAUGGUUGAACCACUUGACAUUGUUGCCUACUUCAGGGAGGGUGUAAGAAACAACAUAACCGAGGGAAGAUCUGAACAUUAAACAUUGUACAAUUAUUGUAAAUGUCUUAUACAUUACGUGUGAAAAUACCAAAAAAAAUUAUAUUCAACAUUUAUGUUUGUAUACAAGCAAUAUUUUGGAUAGUUUGAUAUAAAAAACAAAUGAAGAAAACGAAGAAAAACAUACAAAUAUAUUUACAAUGGACAAACUUAUACAAUUAGUGUAAAUGUCUUGUAUAUUUAGUACAAAAGUCUCGUACUUUGUAAAAAUAUAAAAAUAUAGUAUUUGACUUUUAUAUAUGUGUGAAAAUGUAAAAGGAAAAAGAAAAAUAGUUAGAGCAUUUGGUACCGUGAGUGAUGACUUCACCUAAAGAAAGGUUAAUGAAUAUUAUGGUCUCGAUGGAAGAGCGACUCCGGUAAAAUAUAUGGAUUAAAUUGAUGCUUUUCUUUUGACGAUGAAGUAGUUGAGUUAUGAAUACGAGGUUUUGCUAACAACAUUGAAGGCAAGGAUUCCCUAAUAUACUCCAAUUCAUAUUCAAUUUGUAGACCUUCAACUAACUACUCUUGCUAAUGAGCAUAUCCAAGUGAAUACAUAAGAUUAAUUAUUACAUAUGAUAAUUGAAACCCUGUUUAAAUAAAUAGUGACACAAAUAUAAAAAAUAUAUAUAUUUAAAAAUAAAUAAAUAAUAAUUUAGAGAAUUUCAUAACUUAGCAUCAAACCUAUUGUAGGAAAGAGUAUUAUACAAUGUAGGGUUUAGGAUCAAAGUUAACCUAAGAUCAAAUUUAAGUCUUAAGACCAAUUCACAUUCAAAACUAAGGUUUUAAAUUUCAAAAAUAUAUCUCUUAAACCAAUUAAAUGGAAAAAAGAAAAUUACAAAGAAAAUUUCUUCCUCAUCGGUUUCUUUUAUCUUGAAAACUAAAGGAAAUAUAUAUCAAUAUUUGAGAUGGAAAUUCAUAAUCUUAGAAACACAAAGAACAAAGAGAGUAUGAAGAGACCAUACCAUGAGAGAUUUUCCAAAAGGUUGGUAAACCAUGGUAAUCACCUUUGAGUUUUGCUGAGAAAAACAAACCUUAAUUUUUAUUUUUAUUUUUUUAUCAUUUUUUCUCUUGUGGUGUACAUUUAAGAAAAACAAAUCUUAAAAAAAAAAAAAAAAAAACCAAAUAAUGCCAGAAUUUGGGUUGAGAAACACCCAAAAGAUAGUGGCCCAAUACAUGUGCCUAAGAAAAUCUUCAUGAGCCGAUAAACAUAGUCACAAAACUAGGAACAGCCUUGUAGCCAUAGUUGGUGUAGUAUGAGCAAGUGGGGUAUGAAGUAGGUAGGUGAGUAUUGCAAUGAAAUUUCCAGCACUGCUUCCUGAAUUAAGAAAUCACAUACUCAAGUCUUAAUCGUUGUCAUCAUACCGUGUGAGAACCGAGGAAGAAUCUUUGCUCUUAGACUGGAUUUUGUAGUCUUUCUUUAACAAUUACAAGUUAUCUGAAUUCCCUUCAUCCUCCUAUAUAAUAUUGUUUUUGGUCUUGUUCUUGUUGCAUUGUGGCUAGGCAUCUCCAUGGGAGGAAGGAGGAUGAAUCAAGUUCCUUUGUAUGAAUCAAUUUCUCUGCUCUUUUUUUUUUCAAUCCUUGAAUCGAAUCAUUGCUUAGUUCUUGCUUUAAUUUCUCCAUUUUCUGUUGGGUCUUUGAUUGCAGGUUUAGCUCUGCAAGAAAACUGGGAAAUUUAAUUGUGACCUCCAAUCUAAUCGACUCUGCUUUGACUAAAAUUCUUGAGCUUCAAAGAGACCAAACAGCCUUGCCUUCCCCCGUUCAAUACAGAGUUUUUUAUCCAUCUCCCAAGUGCACAAUUGUAGCUUUUGUCUCUUCACCUGACUGCACUCAAAACCCUCUUCCUGGACAAGGAGAUUUAGUUCCCUCUCCUCUCUUUGACUUCCUCUGCACCGAAGAAUACAAGUCCGUCUCCAUUAACAGAGCUGCAUUAACCCUCUUUACCUCUCUCCACGAUCAUCUCUCUGGACUAAAAACUCAGGUCAAAAUAUGAUAGUUGUUUUUAUUUUCGUUUCCUUUUUGUUAACAAUUGUGAGACAUGAAACAGCUUGACCAUGAGAUCUCUCUCAUAGAGUCAAACUACCUGAAGAAGAAGAAGACGUUACACAUAUCCAUCUGCGCUGCAUCAUCGCAUUACCCAUUGAUCGGUUGUGAUUCAACUCUUAAUAGGAAGACAGUAGAACUGGUGUUGGUAUCUGUUUUUAGAUCAGCUUAUAUGUAUCUUGUUGCUAAAAAGGGAAAGUUUAGAAGUGAGAUUAAUGGGAUUAUUCUGACAUGGAUUUCAUAUGGUUACCUGUUUUGCAGUUGACUGUGAUUGAAGGUCGAUUAAUCAUCACUGGGUACUCGAUGGGAGGAUCCGUUGCUUCUCUCUUCACCUUAUGCCUGUUAGAAGUCAUCAAUUUAUCAAAACCCAAAUGCCGCCCCAUUUGUAUCACCUUUGGUUCACCCCUCAUAGGCGACUUUGGCCUCCAACACUCCAAUUGGAAUUCUUUCUUCUUGCAUGUAGUGUCCAACCAAGAUCUAGUCCCCGGACUCUUCCUCCCAUCCGACAGAUCUCCUCCCACAUCCUCCCAUUCACAAACUACUGGUUACAAGCCCUUUGGGACAUAUCUCUUGUGCUCUGAACUUGGUUGUGCUUGUUUUGACAACUCUGAUUUAAUUUUGGAAUUGCUGAAAGUCAUAUCAUCAGAGGUUGCCAGAGGAUUGCGGGAUGUUGAUUACAGGAAGAUUUUAAGAAACCUCAAGGAGAGGGCAAUCUGCAAGGGACUUCCGCAGGUGGGUGAAAGGUUUGCAAAUCCAUUUGCAGCUGGGAUCAUCAUGGAACUUGAGACAAAUAUUGGAUUUAAUGAAACAAAGGUAAACAGCUUUCUCCCAUCUAAUGAUGUUAUGGAACAUGGUUUACACCUCAUUAAAUACUGCAACAACUGCCCUAUUUAGAUUUACCUUCUUGUUCUUUGGGAUCUUCCAUAACUAGACUCAUUUUUUAAUGCCAUUUUAUUUUCCUUUUUGUUUCUAAAUUUUUUAAAAAUCGUUUUCACUUCUUUUUUUUAAGAAAAUUUUGGCAAAUUUUGAAAAUAUAAUAUUAGUGUUUUCACUUCUUUCUUUCUUUCUUUUUUUCUUUUUUUUUUUAAACUCAAUUUUCUAAAAAAUGAAAAUAGAAAAACAUUGUCUAAACAUGUUUGUAAACUUAAUUUUAUUUUUUUAUAAAUGAAAAAAAAAAUCUAAAUGAGUAAGGCUUUAUUAAUUUUAAUUUUUUUCUUUUCCUUAUAUUUUCUUAUUUUAUUCCAAAUUUUCUUGCAACCAAACAUAAUCUAAAUGUUUACAACUUUUAUUGUAAGGAAUGAAUGACACUACUUUGUGAACUUUUAUGAUAAUAUUUUGAAUCAUAAAUUGUGUUUUUUUUAGUAAUAUCAAUUUUAUUACCAAUGACUUAAUUGUUAAUAACAAAAUAUAAUAUUUAUAAAUAUUUUUAUUCUCAACAGGCUACAAUUUUUACUCUUGUGAUAAAAAAAAUUUUGUCAUAAAUUACACAUUAUGAUGAGUUUUUCUAUUUUCCUUAUCAGCCAAUUCAACAAAUAUCAUAUAUAUAUUGUAGUGGCUAACAAAUUUUCACAUAAAUUUUUUAUAAGAUAAAGUAGAAUGGAAUUAUUCAAUUUCAAAAAAAAAAAUGGUACCUAAUGAAAAAGAUAAAAUAUAUAGAUCAUCUCGAAGAAAUCAGGAAAGAUAAAUGAUGAGACCAUAUAUAGGACCCUUGAUGGAGACUAUUUUAAUUGAAGUGGUGUGCUCCUUCCGACUCAGAACAUGUUCAGCAUUGCACACAAACUAACAUCGUCGAUCUUGAGUAUGAAAAAGGUGAUUAGAUUCCAAGGACUUGCUACUCAACAAUGACCAAAGAAGUUCAUUUGUGGUUUGUCCCAACUCCUCAUAUUAGAGGUGAUGCUCAAGCUAACGUGCCUCGCAGUUGAGCCCCGGCCAAUCGCUCUAAUAUGCUUUUCCAAUGGUGAGUUUCACUGCCACCAUGUAUUACAUUAAUUCCGAUAGCGCACAAGUUGUGUUUGUGCUAUUGCUUUUUGCCCUCACAAACAUAUACACAAGAGACAUUCAGACCAGAUCUGUUCUACCAUCCUCUAGGAAAGCAUUGUAGGUCAUUUGAAAUUGGGAUUUCAGCACCAGAGUCAAAUUGCCUUCCUUCCUGAAAGAUGAGCAUUUUUUAUACUCUUACAUCGGCUUUUAUGGAAAUGAAAUCAGCUUCUCAUUCUGUUACAUUUUUCAAUUUUACUGCCUAUAACUGCUCACUGCCUGUUUGUGAGAGGUAUGGACCCAUGGGACAUUAUCCAGAUUUUCCCUGAUCAAUUAUAGAAAGGUCAUUGGACUCAUCCAUGAUUGGAAUUUCCUGUUAUCAUUAUUUGCAAAUCAUCAACCAUUUGUCAUGAUAUCUUAAGUUAAGCUGAGCACGAAUUUCAGCUAAGAUCCUCAGAACUAGAAAUAUGCACUGCAGGUAUUACUUGAUAUGUGAAUAUCCAAUACAAUAUUUUUUUACUAAGAGGAAUACGAAUUUGAAACACUUUCCAAUAAUUUAUCAAGUCAUAUUUUCGUGCUGUCGUGAUACAUGUGUCUACUGUAUGCAUGGCUUUUCUUUUCUACACAUGCCUUUAUCUUUGCACAUGACUCUUUUGAUACACGCCAGCAUCAAGGCAAUUGCCUAAAUCUAAAUCACAUCCUUUGUGUCACGUCUUCCUUGUUACCACGGUCCUCUUGUACACCAUGGUCCCUUAAUGUAACUUGUGCCACAAGCCCUUUGUGCAUGAAUUCAAAUUGUUCAAUCAUUUCGCCAUUUACACCUUUUAAGGUCCAAUAAGCGUAUACAAGAGACUACACUCAUUCUAGAUGAUGAAGUACAUUCAACUAACUACUCUUGCUAAUGAGCAUAUCCAAGUCAAUACAUAAGAUUAAUUAUUACAUAUGGUAAUUGAAACCCUGUUUAAAUAAAUAGUGACAAAAAUAUAAAAAAUAUAUAUAUUUAAAAAUAAAUAAAUAACAAUUUAGAGAAUUUCAUAACUUAGCAUCAAACCUAUUGUAGGAAAGAGUAUUAUACAAUGUAGGGUUUAGGAUCAAAGUUAACCUAAGAUCAAAUUUAAGUUUUAAGACCAAUUCAAAUUCAAAACUAAGGUUUUAAGUUUCAAAAAUAUAUCUCUUAUCUUUUUGCAUAUCAAUUCAAAUUCAAAUUGAACCACUUGACAAUGCUGCCUACCACAUUGAGGGUGGAAGAAACUACAUAACCAAUGGAGGAUCUAAACAUUACAUGCUAUUGGAGCAAUGAUGCAAUGAAGAGGAGAAGGGGACUUUGUCUUCUCAUGCAAAUUGCUCUCAGAGCUCAGAACCUACUCCUGAAGGGAAAGAAUCAUCAUGGAGUGAUCUGGUUAAGUUUGAGGAUUUAUUUAUAUAAUUGAACUGAUUGGAAGCUAUGCAGUGUCGACCCCCACCCGAGCAGCUUCAUGAAACGGUGGAAAGAGUUGGAAGAAGUCAUAGAUACUUGCUAUAGGAGCUUCAUGAAGUAUGGAGAGGUAUGGCAUAGAUACUUACAGUGUCGGAAUUUCUCAAAUCCCAUUUCAGAUUGUUCUAAAAUAAGGAUUCAGAAUUGAGAGCUGGGGCAAAAGGUUUAUGCUUAACAGACUCGAAAUGAAAAGUAGUGCUUUAAGACCCUAUGGACCUGGCCCUGGCCCUGGCCACUGUUCAUCAGCACGCUUGUCUUAAAUAUCCGGUCACAAUCCAUAGAAAUGAACAGGCGAUUGCCCCACAUGAACAAAGUAGGCAAAGCUUUGCAUAUACCCAUUAGGCCAUUACCCAAAUGCAAAAUCAGCUGUCAAAGAAACGCCAUCAUGUUCGUCCCCACACCCAACAAAAAAGAAAAAAAAGUUUUCUUUCCAGCUGGGAGAGGCAGAGGCUGAGGAAGUGUCAACGUAGAUGUGGACUAUUAACAUGGGACCACCAAGCACAUGCAGGUAUGCGCACCUUCCCUCAUUUCUUUCUUAUAAUAACAAUACCUACAUUUUCCUGAGCUUUGUUUUAAAAAAAAAAUCCAUAAAUUACCCCAUUUUCAAAAUAAUGUCCAAUCUAAUGUGUUGGUGUCACAUAAAUUACCAUGUUAUAAAACCAUAGUUGGUAACUACGAUUUUACAUUUUAAAAAUAAUAAAAACCGUAGUCACCAACCAUGGUUUUAACUUUAAGUUUAAAACCGUAGUUGGUGACUACGACUUUGACUAUUUUUAAAAACAGUCAAAGCUGUAGUCACCAACCGCUUUAACUUUAAUUUUAUAUAUAUAUAUUUAAUUUUAAUUUUUUUAAAUAAAAUAUUAUAUUAUUUUGAUUUUAUAUUGAUUAAAAAUAUGUAAGUGAUGUAAUAAAAAUAUUUAAUUUUAAUUGAUCUCAUUAUUUAAAUAAUAGUAAUAUAUAAAAUUAAAUAAUUGAUGUCUUUAAUUUGAUAUAAAAAUAUAUUUUGAUAAUUUUAUUAAAAUAUUUGGCAAUACACUCAAUAUAAAUAUAAUUAGUUAUAAAUAUAUUAUUUUAUACCCUCAUAAUGAAUAAUAUUAUAUUAUUUUGUAACUUUGUGCAAAAUUAAAGGCAAUUAUGCACUUGUACAAAAUAUAAUAUGACUUCAAGUGGGUAAAUAAUUGAAAAAUUACUUAAAUAAAACAAAACUAUUUUUUUUUUCCCGGCAGGUUGUGUCGCGUGAUUGACGGUGGUGGUGAAUCGGUGAUGGGGUGGAGAGAUAGCGCGUGUAAUUUAUCACUUCACUUUAUCAUUUCUUCUGCUCCGAGUGGGUCCGUAUCCCUAAAAUCAGAGCUGGAAUGCCCACGAAUCUGAACCGUCCCUGCUGGUGGGCCACACACCAUACUGGCAGUGCAACUGCACAGCCUGCACCCCUCCCACCCCUCUCCCGCCGCCGACACUAUUAUCGGAAUCGGAAUCGUCUCGCCGGAGGCGUCCCGGUUUCCCUCAUUGCAUCUUCGAAAAUGACGGCAAAAUUUUUAAUUUUAAAAUUUUUAAAAAAGACCACCACUAAAAAUCAGAUCUAUCGACAUUAAGGCCCAUGCACCCUCCCUCAAUUAUUUGAGUCACGUGGAGUUCCUGCAUCGACCCGUACUCCUGCUAAGAGAGUGGGUGCACACCCCCGUAACGUUUUAAUUACUGUGAUUAUUUAUUUUACGGCAUUGAAAUCAACUUGCCACUGAAAUCGAUCUAAUUUAUUUUUAAAAAAAUAAUUAAAAAUAAUAAAAAUGUUAAUGGUGUAACAUGUAAGAUCCUUAUUUGACGCAAAACUGAGCGAAAACUAGUGGAGUUAGCGGUGAAGGCUUCUGAGUAAGAGCCCACACACUCUCCAUUGCUGCCACUACCACUGGCUUUUUUUUUUAUUUUUGUAUUUAUCUGCUCAGGUCUCUGAGCUUUGAGCUCUGAGAAACAAUGGCAUUGAUCCUCUUUUCUCUACUAUUCUUUCUGGGAUUAGUGAACCCUUCGGAGUCCAGGUUGAGUGUCAACUACUACCAAAAAUCAUGCCCAAGAUUCAGUCAGAUCAUGCAGGAUACCAUCACCAACAAGCAAAUCACCAGCCCCACCACGGCUGCGGCCACUCUCCGCCUCUUCUUCCACGACUGCUUCAUUGAGGGCUGCGAUGCUUCCGUUCUUGUCUCCUCGACCCCCUUCAACGAGGCCGAGCGCGAUGCCGACAUGAACCUCUCCCUCCCCGGCGACGGCUUCGACGUCGUUGUCCGCGCCAAGACCGCCCUCGAGCUCGCUUGCCCCGGUGUGGUCUCCUGUGCCGACAUUCUCGCCGUCGCUACCCGCGAUCUCGUCACCAUGGUGGGAGGUCCCUUCUACAAGGUCCCGCUGGGGAGAAGAGAUGGGCUGGUCUCCCGGGCGAACAGGGUUGAAGGUAACCUUCCAAGACCCACGAUGUCCAUUUCUCAGAUAAUUUCGAUUUUCGCUGUGAGAGGGUUCUCGGUUCAAGAAAUGGUGGCGCUGAGUGGUGCCCACACGAUUGGGUUCUCGCAUUGUAAAGAAUUCAGCAGCGGGAUCUACAAUUACAGCCGCAGUUCCCAGUCCAAUCCGAGCUACAACCCUAGAUUCGCAGAGGGGUUGAGAAAAGCUUGCAGCGAUUACCAGAAGAAUCCUACAUUGUCGGUGUUCAACGAUAUAAUGACUCCCAACAAGUUCGAUAACAUGUAUUUCCAGAAUCUGCCCAAGGGUUUGGGGCUAUUGGCGACGGACCAUACCAUGGCUACCGAUCCGAGGACGAGGCAGUUUACGGAUUUGUAUGCCAAGAAUCAAAGCGCCUUCUUUGAGGCAUUUGGUCGAGCUAUGGAGAAGCUUGGCCUUUAUGGGAUCAAGACCGGGCGAAGAGGAGAGAUUCGACGCAGGUGUGAUGCCUUAAACUAGGUUUUUAAGGUUUUUUUUUUUUUUUUUGCAUUACAAACUCCCACCGUAGUGAUGAUCAAUCAAGGUGAAUUGAUGGUGAGGGGGUGGUUUCAUUUGAAUUCUUUUUUUUUUUGUUGUUGUUGAGAAUAUGAGAUAGUAUUUAUACAUGCUUGUAUCACCAUGAUUUUGUGCUCAAUAUACAUGUUUAUUCAUAUUGGGGUUCUGGGUUUAAACUUUUCUCCUUAGGGUUUUGCCAUUGUUAGCGAUAGUGAUGUUGGUCAGCCUUCUCUGGUCUCAUGGUGUUUGUAUUGAUAGUGGUAAUAACUAAGAGUGGUUCAUCUUUGAUCGUUUGAUUAUAUUAAUCAUUGGGCUGAGUGUUUUCUGUAGUUAAUUGGGCAACUCAAGAAUAUGAUAAUGAACAAAGGAAAGGGAAAGAUGCUUUCCUCUCUGGAAUAUGACUCUAGUUUAUUGAUCAUAAAUUAGUAUGCUGGUGACUUGGAUUUUGUCUCUUUCUUUGUGUAAUCAGUAUUCAGUCUUUACAGCUAGCAUAUAAUUAGGAAGAAAAACUUUCUCCGGAAGUUCUUUACACAUGGGGUUAAUUGCUAUUGUUGGAUCCACCAACCUCCUCUCUUUUAGAAUUGGAAACACCAGAGAAAUAAUUUCAUUUUUGUCUACAUAUGAUGCAACCCAUUUUCAGGAGAGGCUGCAUAUUUUGUUUAUGUCACUAGGCGGCCUAGUCUGAAUCUUAUCUUUACAAUCUUUGCCUGGAAAUGCGCAAAGGUAAUGGCUUUAUUACACCAGGCAUGGCCCUGGAACACUUGCUUCCAUCUGCCCAGCCUAACAUAUCUCCAUGUUGGAAUGGAACAUAUACUUGUUGGCCAAAUGAAUCCAGAUCAUGGGGGUCACUGAGAUAUGUUUGGUGAUGGAUGAGGUUGAGGGUAUUGGGAGACUCGCAUACGCUGUACUCUGGAAUGCUGAAAGAGGGCUCGGUAAACCUUGGAUGGGAUUGGAAAGACUGAAGAUAUUGGUUGAUGCUUGCCCGUCUUGCCUCAAGUUGCAUUCUUUUCUUCUUCACUCUCUCCUUUUUGUGGGCAUUCUGAUGGCCUCCCAGCGCUUGCGAGUUUGCAAACUCUUUGCGACAGUACUGGCAAGCGUACCUCCUCUCUUUCAGCAACUUUGUUGAACUCUUUCCCUGGAGAGUUUUCUCCUUCCAAGGUGAAGGUGUGUUAGAGGAACUCAAACUUUCAUCUCCUUCCUCUGACUCCACUGAACGCUUUCCAUCAUUUGCACAUGGAUUCACGUCAAAGCCAAACAAUCUGAGUUUCUUCCCUUUGAUUAGGGCUUUAGAGUAGAAACCCUCAUCUCCAAAACUAGAAGAAAAAGGAUUGGAAGCAGCAAGGCUAUGCUCCAGCACACCUGUUUCCAUCUCUGGGAGUAUUGCUAUAUCUUGGAGAAACAAUGCGGCUGCCUCCAUUUUUAUAGUGAGUUUGUUCCUAUCCAGUGGAGCACUUCCACUUGAAACAGGGUUAUCACUAGAAUAAUGGCAAAGGCAAUGACGUAUUGGACACAAUUUAAGGAAUAAAGAAGUCAGAUUAAAGAAGCAGCCGUGUGAUCCAGACAUUGAAGGCCAACUUUUACAUACUGUAUAUGAUCCCCUAUGGACCUGAUCACAAAGGAAUCCGAUGAUGGCUGAUAACACGGGUAAUGGAUUAAUGUCUUUUUACGUGCGAUUUGUCAAAUAAAAACACAUAUUCCAUACUUGACAAAGGGGGAAAUGACAUAGCAUUUGACAAAGGUCAAACAAUGUGGGAAUGCAAUCCACUGAAUGUAAGAUCUCGAACUUUGCCACAAAUCUCUCACCAUAUUCGAUUGCAUCAUUCUCCACUCUUAUCUUCAUAGCAACAAAUAAGUAUAGGACACGAGAUAAGUGAAAAACCAGACAUUCUAAUGGAUUGAUACAAUGUUUCUGUGAGGUUAUAAGUUCGAAUUGCAGGUGCACGAAGAGAGACUCAAAUUUCACAUGGAACAUUGUUCCAUGGUUCCAAGUACUGAGGAAGGAAUAUUGGGUAUCACACAAUAGUGUGAAUUGUGUUUGAGCCCCAGCCCCAGUUGCGGUGGGGAGAAUACCUAAGAACCGAAAGAGAACCAACAAAAGGAAAAAAGAAUAUAUUGCGUCCCAUUAACCAUAAACGCUUUCACACAGCAUUGAUAAUGUUGUGUAAUAUUGGUGGGUUAUCUGGCACUGAGUAAAGCUCCUUUGUAACUACAGCUCCACCAGAUUUUUUACAAACGAGCUUUAGAAAACUUUGGAUCUUGAUCCUGUCACUAGAAGGAAAAAGGGCAAAGGAAACAAGACAGAAAUAGGGGCUAGACAAGGGAAUAUUUGGAGUGGGACUGAUGUAAGCAUAUAUACUGAUCAGGGUCUCCUCAUAGAUCUGAGCAUAUCUUCCAACUGAGACAAGGUAGAGCUAUAUUUUACAUCCAAAAGCAUAUACUUACAGUUGAAUUGAGUCCUCAGUUUACAUUAUAAAAUUAGAAAGCCAAGAUUAUGCGGGAUGUCCUCAUUGGAGCCAACUAUUGGAACAAAUUGGCAUGCUAUGGACAACUACUCCACUGCGUUGCCUGCAAAUUAAAUUUUCCAUCGGUGGCCUUCUUCCACAUAUCUGGUGCCACAUAGCUCUUGAGACAACAAGGAUUGCUCUAGACUUUGCCAGAAAUGAGUGCCUCAAGAAAUGCCCAGGAAAGUACAGUGAUAAAUUCUAACAUGCCUUAACUCAGAGGUUCUUCCUUCCUUUCAUCUAUGACUAGGGAGUCUCUUUGAUUUCAACCUUUUUAACACUCAAGCCUACGUUCUCCAUUCCACCUUUGGAAGUCAAUCUAAUAGAUCUCAGCUCUUGGGUGCAUAAAAAAUUGGCCUAAGGCCAAAGUUUUAACAACUUCAAGAAGAGGAAGGCACGACACCCCAAAUCUUUGGAGGUCAGCCACUAGUAUCAUUUAGGACCUUGAUUCACAUCCCCAUUGAAUUUGGCUUUCUGUGUCCUUGUUUAAGUUCUCUUGGUUGUCUGUGCUUCCACAGAAGUUAUUGUCUCCACUGAGCUUUAGCGAUUCUCUCUUUAAACCAUGUGAUGAUAUCAUGAUUCAUAAAGACACCCCUGUCUAAGUUCCAAGAUUUUUAAAUUCUACCUAAUUCAACAGUUAUCUAUUUUGGCUUAACCAAGUUCUAAAACAAUACUUUUUUUUUUGAUAGAACCAAGUUCUAAAACAAUUCUUCAAAGCCACAAAACUUAGGGAAGCUAGAAAUCAAAAUAGUCCAACAUAUACAUCUUGGUUUACUCCCUUUCAGUCAUUCAACUCAAAUCGCAAAUAGAUCCCACAGCUUCAAAAUCUGAUGAUUGACAAUCAAUGAAGUUCAUUGAGAUAUCAUCGCUUAUAUAUCAAACGACCACACAUAUUGAUGGAAACAUUGCAUCUUGGACAAGAUAACUGCACCACCUCCCCUUUUUUCUGCAUCAUAGUUUUUAAGAAGGCUCGAUUUGCAUAAGCCAAGCAAGUAGUAAAUACUUGAUAAAAAUAAGACCAAAAAGAUGCUGAUUAUAUUCAGUUAAUCAAAUAAAACAAAGAAACACCAAAACUACCAUCCCAUGAUCACAAUCAAAAUGAUGCUGAGAAUCAAUAAGAACUCCCAGCAUCAUAUGAUUUCCUUCGGAUAAGAAUCCAAUCAAUAUGACGAAAGGCCCAAACAAAUGGAACAUGCUGAGUUAGGCCUUAUCAACCAACAAAUCCUAACAUGUGACCUCUCCUUGUAGCCAACACCUGAGAUCUUCCAGGCAAAGAAUUGAUCCUUAUCCAACCAGUUUUACGGUAUAAUCAAUCUCCUCCAUUGAAGUAAAAGAAGAAAAAGGGAAAACAUUCUCUAAAAGUGCAACAUGAAGCAUAAGAUGUACAUCAAAAUUUUCAGCUAUAAUCUAUCUCAUUGUUGAUAUAACUAAACAUGUAAUAAAAAUCCUACAAUUAUUAUCUUCAAAGCAGUUCUCAUUUAUGGUUUUGCUUUCUCGUUUAUGGUUUAACCAUCUUAAGGCUCAAAACCUCUAAGAUGUAACUCUUUAUAUUUAUUCCAACCAUGGCCCAGGAAAUAUCCAGUAAAACUAUUUUGAAAUGUUUAACAAAUUGAUACUAAUCAAAGUUUAAAUCACUAGGGGAAGUCGAGCAAAGAUUUUGAUUUUUGUGAAUUCUGUUUUAGUUUGCUCUUCUGCAUGAUAAUUGAGAGUUUUAAGAUGAUCUUCUUUCAUCCUAUUUCCUGAUAAGUAUUCCUUCAAGAAAGGCACCCAAGUACCAACAAAGUUCCUCAUAUUGAUGGAUAUUAAAAUUAAACAACUUCCAGACCACCUUGUGACUUUUGACAUGCUGUUAAUGGUAACUUGGAGUCCACUGAGGACGAAGAUAAGCUGAUUAACUUGGAGUCCACUGAGGAUGAAGAUAAGCUGAUUUGGAAGGCUAACAAUAGUGGGAAUUCUUAGUGAAAUCCUUCUAUUCUAUCUUGGAGUCGAAUGGAGGGGUGUGUCUUUUCCCUUGAAGGUAGUAUAGUGCUCUUGCGCCCCUUUAAAAGUGGGUAUUUUUACUUGGGAGGGAGGCUAUGUGGGAAAGGAUGCUGACCUUAGAUCAGCUUAAGAGAAGAGAAUGGUUGUUGGGUAAUCAUUGUUGUUUAUGUAAGAGUUCAGAAGAAUCAACAAACUGCAUGCUUAUCCAUUGUCAAAAGCCAAGGGGCUUUGGCAUUUUUUGCUUUCUCUUCGAUUCAUCCCUUCUUCUAUGAAACAUUUGCUAAAGAGAUCACACAGGGGUUUCAUGAGCAAAAAUAGAAGGAAGAAUUGGAGGACAACUCCUCUUUGCUUGUUUUCUGAUAGUUUGGCAAAAAGAAAAUUGAAGAUCCUUUGAUAGAAUUCAAUGUUCAAAUCAACCAAUAAAAGACUCCUUUAUUUGUACCCUAUUCCAAUGGACUAAUCAACAUAUUCAAGAUGACAUUGUAUCCUUUUUAGAAUUCACCGAUUGGUCAAGUGCUAGAUAGGGGGAGUGUGUGCGAUUGUGUGCAUGUAUGAGGUCAAUUGUUUUUUUCCUGGUGUUUAGGCAUCUUUUUGCAUACCUCCCAUGUACGUCAGAUACGCCCCCCUCUUUUUGGAUUGACACUUCUUAUAUACACUUGUUUGCCUAUCGAAAAGAAUAUUUGACUUUAUCUUGCUACCGGAUAAUCCAAUAUUUUCUAUAUUGCAAGAGGACUAUUUAGUUUUCCUUCCCCCCUCUCUUUUCAUCUUUCUUUUUCUGAACCUGUUUAGUAGGUCUUGCUUAGUUUUAUUGUCAUCUUAAAGAUUGAUUGGAAUCAUAUAUUAUCAAGAAACCCAAAAAAAAUACAGGAAAAAGAAAAGAAAAACUAGUCUGAUGACAAUGGAAGUUGGGUCCUCGGCAGUAAAUGUGUACCCUAAUGAAAGAAAUAAGGUGCUAGAUCAAUACUACUUCAAAUUUCCUCCCAAUUUUUUUUGGAUCAAUGGUUUUCCCAUCCUAGGUUUUGAAGCUGAGAUCUUCACCCUCAAUCUGUUUCCCAUCAUCUACUCCACAACUUCAACUCAACUUGCCACAUUCAACAUUUACACUACACUCAACAAGAACGUAAUUUGUUGUUGAUGUUUUUAUUUGCCUUAUCAGGGAUGACACAAACUAUUGACCACUGAGGAUUUUUCCUAUGCUAAGAGAACAAACUGGAAAACAGAGCAAGUCAUAUCCAAAUUCCCCUGAAACAACAAAAAAUGGCUUUCAUUUCUUAAAACUUCAGCCUAACUUCUUCCAAAUUUCAUGUUUUCCCUUCUACUUCACUAUAAAAAUCUUCCUAAUGUCAUAUUGUUCAGCUGUUAACAUAAGGAAGAAAACAUCAACAAAGAGAUGACAGAACAAACAUUUUCAUACCAAUAUGAAAAUUGGAGCAAUUAAAUUAAAUUCUUUCACAGUAAUGGUUAAUCUUAGUCUGUGAGGAACAAAACUGUCUCGCUGUGUAAUACAAUGCUAAAGACAAAAACAUAUAAACAUCUUCCACAUACCGAGCAAAGCAGGCAGCAGAUGAGCCACCGGUUGAACAGUAAUUUUCCACACUGGCCAACUCUUGGAAGCUCUUAUUUGCACCUUCAUCAUCAACUACUGGAGCGCAAAAACACAAACAAAGGGCACCACCAAUACUUACAACCUGGAAAAAAUAAUUACAACCCCAAAUCCACAAAAGAACCAAAAAUCCCAACCACUGAUCUUAGAACUCGGAUGAGUUCACACUGGACCUGUCCUGUAGUGGCCAAUACCUUGUUCGACUCACCAACCCUGAAUCAAGCAAUGCCUCCCAGUCCAGACCUUCCUCGGUUUUCUCCCUCAUUAUCUCCAGGAUCUUCUUGGCCUUCUCUCUCGCCCGCUCACUCCCUAUUUUCUCCACCCUCAUCAAUGUCUCCAUAGCCCCUGCCUCUUUCGCCAGCCCCUUGAACCUCGACCCACCAAAGCUCAGUGCAUAUAGCGCUGCCAGGCAACUCUCCCGAAUUGAGUCGGAGUCCAACUCAUUCCCCCUCAACAACCCCACCAAACACUCCACUGCACCCGCAUCCAGCAUAGCUGUCCUCCCAUCUGGGCAAGCAGCCAAGUUACAGAGCACCAGCAGGGCCCGACUCCAUAAAUGACCCGAAUUCACCAUGCCCAUAAGGAUCUGAACUGCCCCAAGUUUCACCAAUUUGGUUCGAUUGCUCUGAACGAGUGAGAGAUGAUAGAGAGCGAGUGCUGAGUCGUUCCGAGCUCGCUCACUCUCAGACCGAAGAGUGUGGAGAAGCGGCGGCAACGCGCCUAAAACUCCGAUGGCGGUUUUGUUGGCGUCUUCUAGAGCUAAGCUGAAGAGUGCACCGGCAGCGUGGUCCUGCGCUUCAGGGAAUCCCCCCUUCAAGACGUCGAUCAACGGUGGAACGAUCCCUGAUCGUACGAUUUUCACCUUGUUGAUUUUCUCUAGGGAGAGGUUCACCAGAACUGCUACUGCGUUCACCUGAAUUCCGGAGUAUCUCGAGAUGAUCAACGAUCGUAGCAUUGAGAGCAGUCGAGGACUGCAGAGAGAAACCCUAGUUUCUUCGCCGGUUCUGGUGAUCUUUCUCAGUGAAACCAAAGCUUCUUCUUGCUCGAAAACCUGAGGGCUCUUGAGCUUCGCGAUGAUGCCUUCGUCCUCCUCCGGCGAAUCGGGGUUUAGGGUUUCAAUCUCGGAAGAGGAUGAAGAAGAAUAGCAACUCGGCCGAGUCGCAAGGGGCAGAGGCGGAGUCGAACCGGUGGUGGUCACCGAUUCCUGCGAGCUUGAGUAGAAGUGAGUGGAACGGCGAUUCAAGUCAGUGAUGGCGUGAGCGAACUUCAAAACAGGAGGAGUCUCUCCAACCGCUUUGAUCAACUCCUUGUCCGAAUCCUCGCUUUUGUUCUCUGCUUUCUGGGACGCCAUAAGUGUACGGACGACCUUCUCUGCAGAGUCGAAGUCGAGUGGCUUGGGUCGGUCCACGGAACACUUGUCGCACCAGCUUAGAAUGGUGGAUUGUAUGGCGAGGUUGGGAAUGAUUGUGGAGAAAUCAGGCGAAGAACCCUCGGAGAGAGUGGGGUUAAACCCUAAAGCUUUACAGACCUGAACGCAGGCACGCUCGAACGUCUGGCCGGAAGAGACGAUAACUGGGUCAGCCAUUAGAGACCCAGAAAUGGGACACAGAAACUCCUUGGGCGGUUCCUUGGACUGGCGUUUUGACGCAUUGGAAGAAGAAGACGACUUGUAAAACACCCUCCACCUCUGCUUCCCAUUACCCAUCUCCUUACGACCUUCCUUUCCACAAACCCCUUUCCCCUCCUCUGGUUUAUUCAAAUACCUCAACAAAGCCUCCUGAAACUCCAUAACUUCACUGAAAAACUCUCCCAACUAUCAUAACAGAAGCAGUAUAGUUGUAGUCCCUGAAACAGAAAAAAAGGGUCAUGGUGAACGUUGCUGUAGCCCAUGUCAAAAGAGGAUAAGCAAAGCGGAGAAAUAGGGUUUUAGUUCAUUUGAGUCCAAAAGAGAUUUGGAUUCAGUUCUACUUUCGGGAAAAAAUCAGCCAACGAAAAAGAAGCCCUGACAAUCUGGGGAACCAACCACUCCCUCUUUUCCUCCUUUGGCAUUGGCCCUUUUGCAAUUAUCUCAGAUCAAUUCACUGCCCCCCUCACUGCUCCAUCAUUCUCGUCACCUUGAUGACGUUCUUUACAAUUAUUAUUAUUAUAUCUCCAAUAAUUUAGUUUAGAAAAAAACCCUAAAUUGUUCUUAAAAAGUUAAAAUGAAGAACUCUAUUCAAAAGCGAUUUCCUUUUAUUUGAUGGCCAUAAUCAAAUCACUCAAUUGUGAGAGAAUGAGACAAAUUGAAACAGUUAAAAGGUGAAAACGAGUCCACAAAUAUUGAUCAGUUCAGAGGAAUGAUCAUGAAGCAAUCAUUGAUAACCGCAAAAUUGGGUUUUUGCAACCCACUGGAGGAUGGGUGAGCCCCAAAUGCCCAAAUCCCCAAAUCCCCAUUCAUAAGACCUCAUCUCCAUUUUGGUAUGCAUUUCUUUAAUGGGUUAAUGCUGUACUCACUUGUUAUUUAUGGUAAAUGACUGAGGAAGAAUUUCUACGUUCAGGGGGAGCUGCUUGAUGAGAAUUGGCAUACUGGCAUAGACGUGCCGAAUUCUUCAUGGAGAAAAAGGUAUUUUCUUAUGAUCAAUAAAGGUUUCAUUCAGUGAUUUGAAAAAGAGGCUUUUUAUUAUGUGGAGGGUAUGUGGCUUUGUCUGCAGGCUCUGGACCAAUCAAUCUCAUAAAGAGACCCUGUUGAUUCUAAAAGUUCAAAGAACAGAGGCAAUUAGUUGUCCCUUUUUCCUAAAAUUUUGAGUGGAAGAAUGGGUCUGACCACCCUGCAAUGGACAUGCAAGGUGAAAGAUACCAUCACAGAUGAGUUGCAGAAAACAAAACCAGGAGGAAACAUCGUAAAAACCCUAGGAAGGAAAAAUGAUAAUAAAAGAAACAUACAUUUAAUCCAAGAGAGAGAUCCAUUUCUCCAUAGAUGAAUGGCAGCAAAAGAAUUGGGUAGCCAUUAAAUUGAACUUCAACGACAAACUUAGUAAAUUGCAUACAUGUAAAGAGACAUUAACCAGAAUGGGAUUUAUUAUUUAUUAUUUAUUAUUUAUUAUUUAAUUUUUUUGUGAUUAGAAUAUCACAUUUAUAGAAGAUGAGUAGAUAGAGUUUUAUGGAAAUUUUGUUGCACAAAAUAAGUGGAGAGGAUAGAACUUGAAUAUAAAAAGAAAAAGGAAAUUGAAAAAGAGAGAAAAUUUAAAAUUUAAAAAAAAAAACAAAAAAAAUUCGUAUAUUUAAUCAAUAGGAAUCAAUGAUUGAAUGUAAAUAAAGAUUAAAAAAAAAAGCAUUUAAUUACCACCUAAAGUGAGAAAAUUAUGAUAAAGACUAAAGUGAAAUUUUUUAGCUGCAACAGUUUGCUUAGUGGUUAAGGGAUCUUUUAGAAUGGACAUUAUCUUUUGUGGGUUUUUCUAGGCUGGCUGAUACCUACCUUUUCUUUCACAAAAGUGAUUCUCUUUCCCUAAACCUGCCCUUCAGUUGGAGGCCUCACUCCUCAGUCCUCACAUUCUAUUCUACUCCUUAAAGCAUACUGACAUCAUAAUGGCAGAUACUGCCAUGGAACUCAGUGGGCAGCAGGGAUGAUUUGGACACCGUAAAAUGUCAGCUUCAUUCACAAGUGGGUGUUGAUCUUUCAGCCUAUAAAUACUUUAUGUUCACACUCUGAUUUUUCUCUUUUCUUUUCUUUUCUUUCUUUUAAAUAUAUAAAGCAAUAAUUAUAAUUUUUGUUUUCCUUGGAACUUUUUGAAAGAGUUGAAGGAAUAUUAAUAACUUUUGGCAUAUACCUUAUGUUUGCCAUGUACUGAAUGGGUUGGUUUAUGGCCAUCAAGUUGUGUCUUUUAUUGUGGACUUGGUUGCUUCUCAACCAUACUCUUCUAUCAUGAAUAUGAUUGAAGGUAAGUUUUACUGGUCUCUUGUUGGUAAUAGUCUUCUAUUGUGAACACGAUUGAAGGUUUGAAAUUUGAGUUCAAUCCUUCUUAUCUUCAUUUCUAUCACGGGCUAUGAUGAAAAGUGGUGAUUUGAAGGUUUAUAUAUAUAGAAUAUCACGCAGCAAAUGAACGAAAUGUGCGUUCACACUGUUUCACGUGUGAACACCUUUUCUUUUUCUUUUUUUUAAGGUUUAAGUUUUGUGGGCCUCCUUGAUUUACUUUGUUAUUUUUAAAUCUUAUUAUAUGUGGGGUCUCUCCUACUUUGUAGACAGAGGGAAUUGGAUUCCCCACUUUUACAUAUAAGGGCCCGCACAAAGUUGGGCCUAGAGAGUGCAGGGCCCAGGUCCAUGCGUUAUGGGCGCAAUUUGUGUGGAUUGAAUAUUGGCCCACAAAUUUGACCCGUUGCUUGGCUACCGUCCGAGGGUUGGCUGAGAAACAGAUGGAAGUUUCGAGAAGAGUCAGGAUUGGGCCUUGGCUUCGGCGCCAAGAAACCCCAAACCCAUAUAAACUUACGUAGCUAAUGGAUGAAUAUUUUCAUUCAUUAUUCAGACUGAAAAACAAGGAGAGAGAUGGGAGAAGGAACAGAGGCUUUUCCAGAUCUUGGAAGACACUGUCAACGUUCAGAUUGCAAUCAACUCGAUUUUCUGCCGUUCAAAUGUGAUGGGUGUCACCAGGUAUUUGUUUCCUUUCCAUAUUAUUCUCGUUUGGUUGCUGAGAAAAUCUGAGGGUUUAAGUUUGGAUGCCUAAUUGGUUAUUGAAUGAAAUCGCAUGCAUGGGAAUACAUUAUAUGCAGGUGUUUUGCUUAGAACACAGAACAUACAAGUCCCACGAGUGCCCCAAACCAGAACCCAACAGCAGGAAGGUGGUGGUGUGCGAAACCUGUUCGACAUCGAUCGAAACCACAGGGCGAGAUGAAAAAGAAGAGAAGGCCAUGUUAGAGAGGCAUGAGAAGUCAGGGGACUGCGACCCGUCAAAGAAAAAGAAGCCAAUUUGCCCAGUUCGGAGGUGCAAGGAGGUACUCACCUUCUCAAAUACAAGUACCUGCAAAACUUGUCAACUCAACUUCUGCCUCAAGCAUCGGUUCCCCAUUGAACAUGCUUGCAAGCAACGGUUGCCAUCCUCGACAACGGGGGCUAAAGAGCGGUGGAGCGACAAGUUCUUGGCGGCGUUGGGGGCUAGGAUUGGGAACGAUUGCGCCAAGAAUGGUGGGCGGACGGUGUCCCCACCUGGUACCAGUCAUCCUGUCAAAGCGUGUUGAGAUUUUAUAUGAUUUGUACAUUUUGUUGAUUAUAAUUUAUAUGCAUUGUUACCACCAGAUGUUAUAUUGGAACCAAUGUUGAAUUCAACAAGAUGAAGGUUUAUGGUAUUAUAUGGUAAGCAACUGCACUAUAUGAAAGGCCCCAUUAGAAUCUGACACUUAUCAUAUAGAUGAAAAUUUUCAGAAACCAAAGACAUGUACAAAAUGAAUCAUCCAGAUUCAACCGCAGACUGAAUUUACAUGCAUUUUGCAUUCAUGCACCUGGGAUCCAGGCAAUUUUCUCUCUUCCUUUCACCAAGUGGGAGGUAGAGGAAGUAUAUUCAACAGUAGAGCAUGGGCUAUGGAGACCAAAUAAAAUAUGUGAAUCAUGAGCCGUGGACAACAAUGAAAUGAUCUUUUACAAAGCUACAAUUCAAUGCCUCGUUUGUUUUUCACCUUGUUCCAAAUAAUCAAUUCACAUACAUUCUUGUCAGCAUUAAUUUCUCAAAGCAAUUGAAUUUUUGUAAGGACAGAAAUUUUCAAUUGAUACAACAUCCAAUCCCUUUUAAACCCUAACUUCAAAAAGGAAUACACCCAUUCCAAUUUUUGGAUCAGACUUCUCUCAAGAGUACAGACACAAGAAAAAGUAGCUCUUUACAAAUGCAGCUGAGUUAUGGAGUCAUGGGGGUUGUCGUCUAGAACGUGACAAGAGAGCAAGAAGAAUCUUCUUUCUUGGACCCUGCAAAUCAAACAGCCCUGUAAGCAGCAGAUACCCAACUCGUCCCCAAGGGAAAAACUAUGUAUUAACUUGUAAUAUCCUAGCAUUUCAUGGUACCAAGCUGGCAGGAAGUCAUGCAUGCAGUGCAGUGUGGCAAUUCAAACUGAUACAUAUACUAAUAAUGAGAAUGAUACCUCACCACUUCAUGAUAGAUGGAUGGGGAAGAUAUACAAGAUUAGAGUAAUGAUAAGCAGCUAACAUAGCAGUUGCCACUGUCCGCACAUGGCUUUCAGGAAGAGAAAAUGAAAUUCAAAAGCUUGGACCACAUUUGCUUCCCACAAAGGAGCCUAUUGCUUAAUUUCAGGCCUUCAUAAUGCUCAAAUGACACUUAAAUAGACAAUGAAUGCAUAUUCAAUUGACAAUUAGAUAGUUGCAUGAGACACAUGAUACUGUGGACAGAUGAAAUACACCAGCUCGGCAAUAAAAUUUAUAUUCACAAUGGGAAAAAGGAUAAACCAGAAAAAAAAAAAGGGAUGAUAAUAGUUUCAUAGAACAGUAGAAAUAUUCAGAAAUGAAAAUACCAUUGGAAUUCCCAUCUCUUUAAGGUCAUUGUCCCCCAUCUGCUUCAAAGCAGUCAUAUCCACCUGCAAAUUUUGUGAAACAUUUCCUAAAUCCACUGACAAUAAGGAAAAGAUGGUAUAUUUAUAUUUCUAGGGAGCUUUGCUACAUCAUGAAUAUUAAAGAAUAAACACUAGAGCAGAUACUAUGUGCUCUUCCAUUUGUCCAGAAAUGGCAGCUUAUAUUUUAUUCAAAUGAAACCCCCAUAAGAGAGGCAUCUAAAUCCUACUAUGGAAGAUUCAUCUCCAAUCAUCAUCUUUUUCGGACAUCUGACAAAAGAAGCAAAUUACUUACCUCCUCAGCUUGAAAAUUAAUGACAUAUUUCUCCAAACCAAGUGAAUGCAACAAGCUACUGACAUUUACAGGUUCAUUACCCUGUAAUAAGCAAAAAAGACAUGACGAAAAGAAGAAUAAAGAGGCUCAAAGGUAACAUUUCAAAACAAAAAUAUUACAACCACAGACAUCAUACUGGCAUAUUAAGAGUUCCAUCUAUUCGUCAAUUAUAGGUAUGAUUUAGAUCAUCUAAAGAUGAAAAGCAACAAAGGAAUUAGUCUAAGCUAAAAAUCCAGCUGAUUUUAAUCAACUUAACAGGGAAGUAAACAAUGUCAUCUUAACAUAACUAGACCAAAUUGCCUAUCAAAAAAGAAAAAUGGAAAAAAAAAAAAAAAAAAAGGAAAAACACCAGGCCAAAGUGCUACCAGGCUAACAUUCAUACUUAAUCCUCACUGAGCCAAGUUGCAAACCAUAUUAGUUUCAGUUUUGACAGACAAACAGAAAAUUCAUAAACACCUUAACAAUUCAUCAUCCAUAAGUAUACAGCAUGCAAGAUGUAAAGAACUAGUGCCAAAAAGUACAAUAACAUUUGGAAUUAUAUUAGGCCACGCCUCAUUUAAGCAUCAGUGCAAAACCCAACAUCAGAUGUAUCUAAGAUGAGAGAUACUGUCUUGGAAAUCAACAAAAACAGGUAAUUCCAUGAAAUCUGUCCUCCAAAAGAAAAAGUAGUGUCAAAUGCCUAUCAAAAAAAAUAAAGAAAAAAAGAAAAA
rnacentral:lncRNA from 1 species